AGUUAUUCAACCUCUUUCAUGUUUCUAAGCUAAUUAAUCCUAGUGCUUAUAUAUGUAUUACCAUUAAAGAUUUUAAUUAUACAUGGUAUUCUAGUCUCUAAGCUACUGUAUUUGUUUACUUGUUCAUAACGAAACCACAGGUCCACAAGGAAAAACAAAAACAAACCACGAAGUUAAUUGCCAAAACCAUUUUCAAAGCUUAAACAAGAGAGACCCCGAUGGCCUAACCACACAACUUAGAAAAACAUUAUGGUCGCUCUCCUACUACAUAAAAAAGAUAAAUUCGGAGCAAAAAUCUUAUACACUAUCUCAUCGAUCGUGACAAAAAAAAAUUCUCGAUCACACUUUUUUUCUACUUAAAAAAAAAAAAGAAAAAAAACGAACAGAAGAAGGUGAAGUGAGUACUUUUGCCCGCCCUUAUCGGGGGGGGGGGGGGGGGGGGUUAGGGAGCAUGUUUAGUGCUCGACCACGUACACUUCAUCGCAGCAAACAUUAACUCACCCACCACCUUAAUGCACCGUUUGGUUGCAAGUCUCCACUACAAGGCUCUGGCUAUAUUUAAGUAUUAUGAAAACCAUUACAACCUAAUUAAGUAGGCUAGGGUUGUGUCUAAUCGCUCUACGGCAUAGUGCCUCCCAAAUCCCUGACCCUAAACACUAGUGUGGCGUGUGGGGGCUCAAAACAAGUCGAUCAAAGACUGAAGCAUCCUCCUGCAUCAAACCUUGCAUCUCUAUAAAGGCCAUGUAGACAUCCAAAAUCUUUGUGCUCGAGAGUCAUGACUAGUGAGCUAGAAAGUAUCAUGAAAGCCAACGGUGACGGCGGCAGUACUUCUGAGCCUCCUCAUCGCUCUCGGAAGCGCAGAAACAUCUGCCUUGCGGCGACCGCCGCCGUUGUCGUGACCGUUCUCAUUCUGGUCAUAUUCUGUCUGACUGUGUUCAAAGCCAAGGACCCUGAAACGACGGAGAACUCGGUCGUUUUGAGGAACCUGCAAACCGACUUCAACAUCAACAGAGCCACCGUCGACGUGAACAUCACUCUCGAUGUGGACAUGACGGUGAAGAACCCUAACAAGUUGGGAAUGAAGUACACCAACAGCACCGCGUUAUUGAACUACAGGGGUGAGUUGGUGGGCCAGGCUCCAAUCGUAGCCGGAGAUAUUUCCGCCGGUGAGACCAAGUCUAUGGAUGUUACACUUACCGUUAUGGCAGACCGGUUUUUGGGGAAAACAUCGGAGCUUUUACAGGAUGUAAUCGCCGGUAGCAUUCCGUUCAACACUGUCACCAAAAUUUCCGGCAAAGUCACUAUAUUGGGUAUCUUCAAGGUUCAUGUGGUAUCCACCUCGUCAUGCGAUUUCAAUGUCCAUGUCGGAAGGAACACAGCCGGAGACCAAAAGUGUACGUACAAGACAAAAUUGUAAAUCUUUUUCUUGCUCUGGGUUUUAUAUAUGCUUGUCUUCUUGUGCUAGCUAGCUUAUGCACUGAAGUACCCUACUUCUAAGCCCUCAUGCACGUUCUUCUGGGUUGAAAUCCUUUUGGUUUUGAUUGAUUUGUAGAAAUUCUCAUAGUGGCAGAUCGAUAGACUAAGUAGAUUAGUACUGAUCGAGCUGUGUUUAUAUAUAAUCUAUGUAUCCUUGUAUUUUUAAGUAAUAAUAAUUGAUACUAUGAGACAGUUGAUGUUUUAUCAAUAUAUGCAUAUUCUGUUAUUUGAGAGAUUGAGACACUGUCGAUUGAAACUCUUCACUAAUCUAGCAUUGUUCGAGAAUCUCUUUCACGAUGAUCUGUGAAUGGUAUUCUAUUGAACACUAGAGUACUAGAGGCUGCAGAGACUUGUCUUCCUAAACAGUAAUCUUGUAGCUAGAUCAAGAAAAUGAACGUACAAGAGAUGUACCGAUGUAACAAAAGUAACGUACCCUGUCGACUUCUCGGUUAUCUUUUGGGAAAUUGUUCCUCAUCUAUGCUAACAUUGAGCUUAAGAAGGGACUUCUGUCUUUUGCACUUGGACUUUAGUUGAUGAGAUUUUGCACUGCUAAUUUUCAAUUUCAUACCGUCUGUCAUGACUCAUGAAGUAAAGAUUUUCGAAUAUGUUAAGUUGCUUGUAUUGCUUCCAAAAAGAAAAUAUAUGAAGUAUAUAUAGAGCACAAACAUUAUGUCCAAUCUUACUGUGACUUGAUCAAUCUACCAUUCUUUGUUUCACAAUUUUUCUGUCCACCAGCUCUUGUGAUUUUCUAAUUAAAUUUUUGCGAAAAAGCUGUUGGAAGCACAAGUGGUGCAGAUAUCAUAUGGCAGCCACUAAUUCACUGAGUGGAAUUCAUCAUUGCUUCUUAAUUUCUAUUUCUUUCAUCUGUUAGUAAGAUUAGCAAUUGUCUGUAGACACAUCGGUACUUAUUUUCUUCUCUGCUGCUUAAACAUCAAAACCAAUUCUAAGGAUUGACUACAAAUAUUACUUCCCACAAUUUGCUCUUGCUCUGUCUUUUCUCUGUCUCAUAUUCUGAACAUGUUUGCUUGGGAUUGCCUUAAUUAAUUUUGUUAAACUCAAGGUUUUGUGAGAACUUGCUGUUGUUUCUAGUUUGUACUUGUACUCAUUUUAAAUACAUGUUUGUACAAUCUGCUUCGCCAUUUUAAUUGCGCGGGGUUGACGGAAACCUAAGAAUUAUACAGUUUACUAUGGUUUUUUUUUUUUUUCGAUAGGAUACAGUUUACUUUGUUCAUAUUAAACUAUCUGCAUUCCUUGUUCAGAAAAUAAUUUGUGCCCGGAGUUAUAUACAUCAUGCAUUUAGUCAAGUCCUUAUUAAAAGAAAGUCAAGGGCUGCACCUGCUGUGUGCUUUUGACUUAUAUCAGCUGCUACCAAGGCAACUAUGAGAUUGCUGCUCUUUCUUGCUUUAUACUCUGCAUGGAUUCAUGUGAUCGAUCUUCUCUCAAUGCUUAUUGUUCAUAUAUUCAUAUCCAAAUUAAUGGGAAAUUUAGGUAUACUUUGUGUUACUAUUUUUGUGUCAACUAGCUAGGAAAUGAUUUUGCCAUAUUAUGUGAAUGAGUAGUCUGGUUCAAAAUUAUCAUACAGCUUUGGCAGAAUUUUGACUGUAAAAUGAAACAUCUCGCACAGAUAUGUUUAAAAGAUGCGGAUUUAUUAGUAUGAUUCAGCUAAGGUGAUGAAGAUCUUGAGAGAUUCUUGGGAAACACACCAUCUGUCUGGGAACAUUCCGAUGACUCCUGCUGUGUGCCAUGGCAAGGAGUCAACUGCACAGAUGCAAGGGUGACCGAAUUGUAGUAACUGGUUUUUUUUUUUUUUUCCGAUUAGAAAAUACAAUACAAAACAUGAUUACAAAGAAAAGCCUCUGCAACAACCACCACCGCACUGAUCAAAACGGAAGGCAGAGUAGACUAAGGCUGGAAGCUGGGAGGACCAACACAUUACAUCAUCAAUAUUAUGUCUUACAAGAGCUAAAGAAUCUGCCAAGAAAUUCUCUUCUCUCCAUACAUGCUUAAAAAAACAGAGUUGAAGUUCCUGCAGAGAUGAUGGAUAUCAGCAACUAAGGAUUUGAUCCACCAUGGGCAUUGUGCUUUGCCAAGAAGAACAUCCAGAAGAACUUUGGAGUCGCCUUCAAUAAAUACUGGUUGUGAUGCAAUGGUUGACAAGUGAAUUAACCCUUGACGGAGAGCUUUAGCUACAGAAGAGAACACAUCAGAGAACCCAAGAUUGUGGAGACCGCAAUGAGGGGGUGACCUAAAUGGUUCCGAACUACAAAACCAGCUACUGCUCUGUGAGAGGGACGAACAGAUCCAUCAAAAUUAAGUUUGACUACAUUUGGAGGGGGAGGAUUCCAUUUGAUGGUGAUAGAUGGGUCGAAACGUUUAGGGGGGGGAGGAGGAUUGGCAACGAGAUACUGUUGAUAUAAGACAGCAGCGCGAUGGGUAACUUGGCUUGGGAUAAAAGUGGAAUUUCGGAAGAUAACAGCAUUUUGAGACUUUCAAAUACUAUGACAGAGGUUGAGAAUUUUAUCUAAGUUGGAAGGUUGGGAUGAACGAAUAGAGUUAAGCCAAGCUAUAAAGGAAGAAUUAGGGGAUAAAAGUGGUAAGGGGAAAUGGGAGAGGUUCCAUACUUGCCUAGAGAGAGGGCACUGAACAAAAAGAUGUUCAAGGGAUUCCUAUGUAUUGUUACAAAGAGGGCAAGUACUAGGGAUAUCUAAAGAAAAGUAAUGCAAUCUUUGUCUAAUUUUGAGUCGUUCACAAAUUAAUAACCAAGAGAAAAGUUUAACUUUUGGUGGCAGAGAAAGUUUCCACAAAGUGGUCAGUAGUUUUUUUUUAUUUGUUUUUUUUAUUAAUAACUCACACACCCUACAUAUAUUUGGUGAGGUUUGAACUCAUGACCUCAAAGUUGUUAGUUAAACACCUUAACUAACCAAGUCACGGCUCAUCUACAAAGAUUAUGAAAAUUAGCAAAAUGCAAAUCAGCACCUGAUUUGAUAGAAAACUUGCCAAAACCAGUAAGGCCCCAAAUAAAUUCAUAUGACCUAUUAAUAAUGGGAAUGGUAGUAGAAGUAAUAGCCUUUUAACGUAUCAUGAUCUAGUAAAUGAGUAAUUGAAGAAAGAUCCCAAUUUCCAUUGGAGAUAAAAUGAGCAACACUGAGGUCCAAAUUUACCUAGAUUUCAAAUGGUCAGGACCUAGAUUUAAGAGGGGAAAUGGAAAACACCAAUUAAAUAACCAAAAAUUAAUAUCUUCACCAUUUCCUAAAAUCCAUCGCAUUCCCUGCAAAAGAAGAGGUCUGGCAUCAAGAAUUCCCUUCCAUGCUAGAGAGUUAGAAGCUUUCUUGGUAGCAGUAAACAAAGUUGACACACGAAAGUAUUUACGAGUAACAAUUUGAACCCACCAAUUAUUGGGUUGAGUAAUGAUUUUUCAAGCAAGUUUGCAAAUAGCAACAUUAUUAAAGACAGUCACAUAUUGUACCCCUAAACCGUCAUGAGUUUUAGGAGAACAAAAUUGUAGUAACUGGUUCUACCUUUGGAAUUUGAUCUGAUUGAUCCCGGUAAGUGAAGGCUUGCUUCUUAGGCAAAUGUUGUACUCAAUUUGUCUCUUCAAAUCGUCCAAGACAUAGACAUUUUUGACAAAUCCACAAUAAAAUGUAGGUCAAUGUGUUGAUUGUAAAUGAGAGUGUGUAAAUUUACUCUCUAACAUAAUAUAUCACAAAGUACUCGGAUAUUUGUUUUAAAGAAGUAGAAACAAAACAUUCCUUUAAAAGAGGCGAUACCUAAAAUUGUUUCCCCUCCGGAGUGAUAGGUCACCCGGCCACCAUAAGAAGUAGAAGCAAAAAUGCAAAUGCAUAGCUCGUGAGUAUCAAAGCCGUGUUGGGAUGUCAUUAUGCGGUGUCGGCGUCUCUUUCUAUCAAAGACUGUGCAAGCGUGUGAACUGUGAAUCUGGGCUCACAUGCUCUUAUGCCCCAAUAUAGCAAAUACUAAAACCUCACAACACUUCUUACUUUGCUUUGUGCCAAACCCCAUGCUGCAAUGUGUAUGCCACGGAUUGCUGCUCCAUUCCUGGAUUGUCACGCGGGCAUGGGGCACAACCGUGCAACCUCCUUGUUACUCCUCUUCCUUUAUGCUCGCCUCAAAAUUCUUUAAUCACCUCAGUAAUAAUAUAAAAAAUUACAUAUAAGUCACCGAAAACGCCUUUAGAUUCGAGUAUUGGCUUCAGAAACUUGCUCAAAACACAAAAUGAUCUGUUCCUAAUUUUGUAGAAACGACUUCAUGUGGGUGUGAAUGUGUGACAAAAACUCCUAUAAUAAGAAAUCGAUUUUCUGGCUUGAAAAAAUAGCAAACCUAGAGUAGUUGUCAGUUUAGAAAAUGAGGUUAUAGGCUUAUAGCUGGCCUUUUAAUUACGCAAUAAAUCACCAUAUGUCCAUUUUUGAUCCCCCAACCACCUUGAAAAAACUUUGGUCUAUUUCAAGUAUCGAACUUGGUUGUCCAUAUCCUACUCUAGACCUUACAAAACUCACUCUUCUCUCCCUUCACUUUCUUCAAACCUCUCUCUGCUUCCUUCAAACAUUGAUCGAUCAACCAUGACAGAAACUCCCACAGACAACAAACCCAACAAGCGAAAUCGCCCAUGUCUUAUUGCCAUAGGAGUUGUCCUGUUUCUGAUCCUGUUGAUGUUCAUCAUCUGCCUCAUACUUGCCCUCACCGUUUUCAAGCCCAAACAGCCGAGAACCACCCUCGUCUCCGCCACCGUCGACGGCGUGGCUCCACUUGUCUCGUUCCCGGCGGUCAAUAUCAGGCUCAACAUCUCCGUUGGUCUUGUUCUCCUCAUAGAGAAUAGGAACCACGCUAGCUUCAAACAUGGGACAGGGAAGAGUUUACUGCUGUACAGAGGAGUUCAGGUUGGAGAUGCUGAUCUUUACCCUGGUGAGAUUCCGGCGAGGGGUAAUGGUACGAUGUCGGCGAAGCUGACUAUGCAGGCGGAUCGGCUGGCGUCGGAUAUGAACAAUUUGGUCACUGAUGCAUUAGGUGGUGAAUUCGUCAUUGAAGUAAAGUCGAGCGUUCCGGGGAGGAUUACUUUCUUGGGGUUCAUCAAGAAGCAUGCAGUUGCUGUAUCUGAAUGCGAAUUGACUGUUGGGGUUCCCAAUUUUAAGAUCAAGAAUCAAGUUUGCAAAAACAAGACCAAGCUAUGAGAAGAGGUUGAGUCUCAUUGGGAGCUAAUGAGAUUGGUACAUAGUAAAGUGUCUUCUGGGUUUGCACAAGGGUGUCAAGAAGAAUAUGAAAACAAAAUUUUGGUUAAAAUCCAAGAAGAAGAUGAAGCUUAUGCUAGCAAGAAUGGAUUUUCAGGGGAAAGGAUCAACCUUUCACUGUGCCUUUGGGAUUUAGUGAUUAAUAUUUGACCAUAGCAUAGAGUUGUGAUAGAUAUUUUGAAGCUUUUAUCUUUAUUGCUCUUUGUUUUCUGUAGAUGAGAGUGAAGCAGAAACAGAGUUAGAUGACUUGGAUCCAUCACUCAUCCAUGGAAAGAAUAGAAAAUAGAUGGAAGUUGGAAUACCAAGUCCAAAAGGAGAAGUUGUUGUUCUCAUUAUGUGUCAUCUUGAUUUGUCUUCAAGUACCCAGUUAACGUUAUACAAUCCGUUGUGUUUGUAAGCAUAUAUGAUAUCACCAGGCAUAUGCCAACAUGUGACAGACAUCACUAUCUACCAAACUUAUCAAACACCCGUGAAGUGUUUGCUCACAUCCUGAGAAGCUUAUGUUAUGCAUCAGUUUUGUACGAACAUAUAAACCAGAAACUGAGGUGGAAUAAAAGCAAUCAAUCUGUUUCUGCAUUCUGGUUUCAUGUUCACUGCUAUUACACUAAACCAAACCGUAGUGCCAAUUCUUUCAAACUGUGAGGAUUAAAGGCUGAAAUGAAAUCUAGAAACAUCUCAAUUUGGCACUCAAGAUCAGAACAGACCCAGCUUUAUUCUUUCCUAGAUUACCAUUCCCCUUCCUCAUUUUACUUGCUAGCAGCUAGCUAACACUUGGGUAUCAUGGUGAGGGAAGCCUCUUUUUUUCUUUUUCUUCUUUGGGGGUGGCCAGUAUGUGACAGAGACAUCACUGAACUCAUCACCACCCAGAAACAUUUCUACUCACAACCUGAGAAGUUUAUGCAAGAGCCAAGUGUAUUGCUUAUAAACCAGAAAGGCAGAGUGCUGAAAGCAAUCAGCUUCUGCGUUUCAGUUUCACUACCAUAAUCCACAUAAUUCUGAGGUUUAGAUGCAAACAUAUACAGCUAUACAUCAGAACAAUACGAGCACACACUCAAAGGAAUUGCAAGUGCAGAACAUAAACUACAGUCAUUCAAUAUUGAAAUCAGAAAAGCAAAAAGGAAAAAAAAAUACCAAAUCAGUAUCCAUAACUCUUGAAAUUAACUAAUCGGUUUCCAUUUCAUCUCAAAAGACUUGCUACAAGAUGUCAAACUCUAAGAAAAACAUGGAGAGACCAACAAUAUCAAUGCUGGCAGCAACCAAUUAUAAAUAUACUUUUGAGAAGGAAUACAACCGCUAGUAGCUACCAAUGCUGAAAUUUAAAUAAAGCCUACUAUUCUUAGCUGAAGCACAAUAAUUUCAUCAACUACUAUACACUGCUAGCACUACUGUAUGAUCUUGGUCAGAGAGAGAGAGGGGGGAAGAGAGAGAUUAGCAAAAGAUGCAGCUGUAGGAAAGAAGUACCAGUACUUCAGCAUGUAACCGCAUGAGUCAAUUAAAAUUCGAGCUUUCUGAUUAAGCCCAAAUCAAUCUUCCUUGAUUUCCCUACAGGCCUCAAGGGAGCACCGGGGCAGGUUUCAGCAAUUCCAUUUAAUCGAGUUCCUGGAGGUGUUGUACAGUCAUCACCACAGUCCCAAUCCUUCCUUGCAUGUUCACCAAGGACGCUGAGAGUCAGAUCAGAUACAAUAGCUUCCAACAAACUUUCAUACACAGCUUCAAACAUGUCUUCAUCAGAAAGGGACUCCACACUGUCGGUAGAAGUCUCAUCAUCCGAAGUUUGAACCAGAGAAUCAAAACUCAGUUGACGAGCAACCACACUCCUCGCUUUGCUGACAAACUUCUUACACAUAGGCGCCAUUGCCAGCUUCUCUGGACCAGGGGCAAAGGGAUCAAAAACUCCAUCCUCAGGUGUCCGGGGACUCCCGGAGCUAUCAUCAGAAAGACCAAAAGGGUCAUCCCCAUCUCUGUUGGACCUGACAGUUAAAACUGACGGUUUCUUAAAAAAUGUUGGUUGGGAUUCCCCAUUCUCUCUGUCAGCUUCAGGGGUAAUAGGCCCUAAUUCCACUUGUGGCUCAGCACCAUCCUUUUGCAGCUCCCCAGCCUUGUCCAAAUUUUCACAAGAUUCUUUACAUUCCAAAAUAUCAUCGGCACAACCUCCAGAACCCAUCAGUUCAAUAAAGGGAUAUCACAGCAGCUGAAAAUUGAAGCUUUAUCAGUAAUAUUGUAAUUUGGCAGCGAAAUCAUUCUCUUGUCUAAAUUCAAACAGAAAUCCAAUCCAGAUAACACACAUGCCAAAUAGUUCAACUUACAUUAAAAUUUGGGGAUAAACACACGAUUAAUCAAUGAAGGAGAAUUCUAAACAGAGAAGACAAUGCCCAGAAGAUAAAAUCCAUAUACUGAAUCCAAAUUACAAUAAAAGAAUAAACCUUUGAAUUAAACCAAUUAAAUAUUCAAGACUCCUCUAGCCAAAUGGGAGAGAAAACAAACCAAGAAAUGGAACAAUAAACAAGAAUUCAUGAAUAAGGAAAAACCAAUAAAUGAGAAAGAAAAUUCACACAACCACAAAACCCGAUUCAAACCCAUGAAGCUUCUCCAUUUCUGAACGAAACAAAGCUGAAACAGAGAAAACGAAUUACCUGAGCGAGAGAGCAGAGUUGCAGAAGAACAAGAACAGUCCAGGCAACCGAAGCAGCCAAAGCUGAAGUCUUUUAAACUGCAAAAAAGGGUGCAAAAAGCGCGUUAGUUAACUAAAAUCUGAAAGUGAAAGGUGGGUUCUUGUUGAACUAGAAAACCAAACAACGCAGAACUCACUGGGGUGUACUUGCUUUCCAGUUCGCUCCGUCUCUCUCUGCAACUUUGACACCAAAAAACAAAAUAACUUAUUUAUACCACCUCCACCAAUCAAGAUCCGGAUUCCGGGCCCACUACCUAGGCAACUCACUCCCCUAAUUUCAAUAAAACUAAAAUAAAUGAAUAAUAAUUAGCAGAUUAUUAGCCAAACAUGGAGCGAAAUUUAUUGUUUUUGCUAUUUUUCGUUUAAUGUUAGUUAUAUUCCUGCCAUGUAUUGAUUAAGAUUCUGUUCUCUAUGUUAUCCUGCUCAUGACUCAUGAUGUAUUCAAAGAUGUAACAUGAGAAUUUGAGUUGGAACAUAUAAUGAUUUUCCAUAUAGAAAUGUUGUCCAUUUUGGUGAGAACAUAUGGCGGGAGAAUUUCUUCCCUCCAAAAUAUAUUUCCCUCCAUAUUUACCCGCCAAUAUCGUGUAUGGAAAAAACUUCAAGUAUUUUCCAUAUGAGAAUGAUAUUUCCUAUUAUUAAUUUUAAUUAAAUGUAAUACAUAAUUACAUAUGCAUAAAGGAUAUGAUUUGUGGUUCUUCCUGCCCUCUAAUCUUAUCAAAAUUAGAUCAUUAGACCUUAUCUUGGGUACCAAUUAGUUUGUUCUAAUCUAGAUGAUUUUACAAUUGAAGUUUUGGGGCAUUGGGCUUCAGAUAUUUGUAAACAAAAUAAAAAUCUUUACAUUCUUUAUGGGCUAUUUGUCCUCUAAAUCAGCCCCUUCCCUUUGUUAAUGUUUCAUCUUUGUACUUAAUGGCCUUACGGCUGCGCAUUGCCUAGCCCAUCAACAUUAAAAUCAAAUUUAAAUACCGAAAUGUUGGAAUCCAAUGUGGCAAUGGAUUUAGAAAAAGAGGUGAUUAGGGAGGAUUUUAUUUAUUUUUUCAAUAAAUAAAAAGUCUGAUUUAGUAGGUUAGAAAUUUCGCACCAAAUCAGUGUUGUAAACAGUCGAGUUGGUAAACAUUGUGUGUUAUAGGUUUUAGAACAUUUCUGUGUUCUAGGCGUCCGUGCGCUUAGACAGUUGAGUUCUAGGUUGCCGCAUAGUUGCCAUUAUGUGUUCAUCCUUAAAUCUCUUGAAUGUUGCAAGCUAGGAUACUUGCAUCGAUCGACAACUACGUGACCGUCGAACUCAAUCUCUUCAAUGUUAUUCACGUAUAUUGAAGGAAAUUGUACAACUAUGAGAUUUAGAUGUAUGAUUACCUUUUAUCUUCAUCCUUCAAGAAAUUUUCUCUAAACAAGUAAUGAAAAUAUAUUUCACGAAAAUAGAAUGACAAAGAGAAAUGAGACAUUCAACAUUGAACCACAUGUGAUGCUUGCCGGGAUUGAAUGGGAACAUGGGAAGAACAUGAUAGUAUGUAGCCAAUGGUACUUGGAAACGAUUAUGUCCCAACUCACAUGGAUCAAUACAUGAAACUCAGACCACACAUAACAUAAAGAAAUAUGUGUAUCACUCACGAUCGAUCAGACUUAGUCUAGCUAUUCUAGAUCUCAUAUUUUUCCCAAGUCAACAACCAACGACUAGUAGUUUUUCCCUCGUUUUAUUCCUCUUUCCUUCUCACGACCACCGACUUGUAUAUUGUUCUAUUUGCUUGUUGAUUACAUGUAUAAGUUGGUAACAGUAAAAUAUAGCUAUAGGCAUCUGGAAUAACAAGAAAUAGUCCAAAAAAUAACAGUAAAAUUAAUUAAGACUCCCUCCGCCCGCCAAACGCGCCCAAUCCCUUAUAUUAUAGCAGCCAUAAUCGUCCCCCUAGCAGAUAGCUAGAAUCAUCAUCAUUCGUUUCUUCUCUCUGAAACGCUGCUGCGUUCCUUAACCCUAGCUUCAUCGCCAUGGAAGCAGCAGCAGCAGCGCCUUCUUCAGCAGGAACGUCAAGUGAACGCACCCUCGCCAAGAGGCCCUCCGCCUCUUCCUCCUUUCGUCUCCGCUGCCCGAGUCUCAACUCUCUCCGCCUCCUCCGCAUCUUUGACAUUUUCGACAAGAACCGCGAUGGCAUGGUCAGCGUCGACGAGAUCAACCAAGCCCUAAGACUCCUCGGCCUCGACGUCGAAGUCUCCGACCUCGAGGCCACCAUAAAGACCUUCAUCCAGCCCGGAAACGAAGGUCUUACGUACGAUGACUUUGUAGGGCUACACCAGUCGCUUUAUGAUACGUUCUUCUUCGACGGUGAUGACAUUGAAAGCGCGGUGGAAGAGGCAGCGGCGUUGGUGGUGGCUGCGAGGGACGAGGAGGAAGCGAAGAAGUUGUUGCAGGAGGAGUCGGAUCUAAGGGAGGCGUUCAAGGUGUUUGAUGAAGACGGAGACGGGUUCAUAUCGGCAAAGGAGCUGCAGACGGUGCUUGGGAAGCUAGGGUUCCCGGAAGGGAAUGAGAUUGAUAGAGUGGAGAGGAUGAUUACUUCCGUUGAUCGGAACCACGACGGCCUUGUUGAUUUGUUCGAGUUUAAGGACAUGAUGCGCAGUACCGUUCUUGUUCCUUCCUCUUGUUCCUAAUUUCUUAAAUCAUAUCCAGUCCGAUCCACACUGUUGUUGGAUUAUAUACAUUAUAUAUGCAUGUCGAUCAUUUUUCGAUGUUGUUGUUUUUGGAGAAAUAGAUUGUCAUCAGUUUGUGAUGGAAUAAGUAAAGCAAACCUUCGUUUCUCUAUUGAACUUUAGGGUCUCAAGCAUACAAGUCUUGUAGAUGCAUAUAUCCAUGACAGCUAGCUAGCUCCACAUUCCUGGAAUUUUUAACAGGGUACUGUAGAAGUUUAACAUGCUAAAACACGUUUAAUUCUAUUUUCAAGUUAAGAAAUACAUUCAUUCUUGUCGAGGACACAUGUUUGAAUCUGUAAUCUAAGUUGGGGUUGUAUUUCAGGGGAGAUUUUAUUUUAUUUUGUUUGUCAUAUAAUGAACUUGUACGUAUUUUAGUAUGGCCUCUUGCCCUCUUCUCUCGUCUUUUUUCUGGCCAAAACGUUAGUGUUGUUUUUUCUUGAGGAAUUGGCCAACACGUUAAUUAGUUGGCAUUUCAAUUCGUGAUUUUAUCUUUGAAUAAGGAGAUUUCCAGAUAAAACGAAAUGCGGUCGAUAGUCUCUACAAUUUGAAUAGUUCAAUUUGCUUGCCUGACUCUCUUGCAUGCCUUUUAUUUUUCUAGUCAAUGGGCCGGAUUUUAAUAGACGCUCCACGUACAACAUUGACUGUUCUUGAUGAUCAAUAAUCAGAGGGAGUGUUUCUGCCUACUUCAACCUGGAUCAAAGUACACAUUGACAGAAUUAAGUUUAACAACGUACGUCUGGUAAAGAUAAAUUGUGUAUACAGUGUAAUGUGCGUAAUUUCUAGCAAUCUAGCUUAGAGUUGUUAUUGGCUCUCAGGGCAAGUUAAUCAAUCUAGCUAGUCGAUCUACAUCUACGUACAUAACAUGUCCUCCAUGGCUCCAUCAAUAAAAUACUGAUUAAAUUUUAGAUGUCAAUUACAUGUCCUCCAUCUUCACAUUUCUUGUAUGAUGCUCUGCAAUACUGUAAGGCAUUGGAGAGUAAUCGUUGAAACUUAAUAGCCUACCUCUUACUUGUAUAUAUAGGGCAUGUUUUGUUAUAAAGAUAUGUUUGUUUUUUGUUUGUUUGUAAGGAUGAUAACUUUGGCAUUCCAUCUCUCGUCAUACAUUUAUCUUAGUUUAUCACUUUAAUUUGGAGCGCGGUUGAAAAACCGAGUGUCAAAAUCGAUCAUUCUCAUUUUUAACCGAAGUUAGAUAGAAAUGUGUUAAAACUAUCUAAUUAAUUGAUACAUUGUUUUAAGUUUAGGUACCUGUUGGUUCGAUUAGACGUUUUCUAAGUUUGGAUAUCAUUAAUUUUGGUAUGUAGAAGUACAAAUAAAGCUGAUAAAUCCUCAAAUCAAGAAGUUGAUCACUCUUCAUAUUAUCUAGUAGUUGGAUUAGGUGAAAUUUAGCUUAAUUAAGACUGAAAAUUGUUGGGUCCAUUUCAAUUUUAAGAGAACAUUACAUCAUUACUUCAGUACACAAUACGCAUUUCCCAGGUGAUCGACAUCAAAAAUCCCAGGUUUAGUGCACCUUUUACGCGUAAGCCCCACAGAUUUUGCUUACUUGAAACGGAGACAGAAUGUCCUAUCUAUUCGUUCACUUGCCUUACGUUGUUCACUUAUUGAUGCUGUUCAAAAUUAAGGGACAAAAUCCCUGAGUUUUGAGAUUAAUUGGAACAUAUUUAGGCUAGGUACGUAAGCAAGAUCUAUAUCUAAAGUAAAAAUGUAAAAUACGAUGUCAUCGUUUUGGGGUUAGGGUUGAGGCCAAUGGGAUGACUCAAAUUACGGAUUACACUAACCAAAAAUGGGCAGAUUUGCUUUGCUGAUGAUGUUAACCAAUUAGUCUCUUCUUCUUAUCUCCAUUCCAAGUUUCCAACAUCUGGAAACUAUGGAGGGCUGUCCUCAUAUGCCAAUUAGCUUCUUGUUGUGUCACUGAUUUCACUAACCACUACGUACCUGAGGUCAUUUUGUUUCCAUGCUCACUCGUGAGCAACAACACUAAAGUUUUCUGGAGGAAUUCAAGGGCCAACAAUAAUAAAACUGCACUAAAUCGAUCAUAUCUUCCAAUAUAUGUGAGCUAAGAGGAUUCGAUUCGUGCAAUAAUUAUCUUAAUUUUGAUCACUUAGCCCUCAAUUAAGCUCCCUACUUUGGACCACUUGGUGCUAAUUUGUGGAUUCAAGUUUGAAAACAAUGUUAUUAUUUCUUUAAGUAUUAAUUGAUUAACGAAGAAGGUCCAAAUUGAUGACCUAUAUAUAUAAAAUGUGACCGGCUAGCUUGCUUGGACCAACCCUUUACUUGCAGUUUAGGACUAGGACUCUCCAACCUCCUCCCUCAAAUUAACAAUGGCUUAGCCCUACUCCAUGCACAUGCAAGCAUAUCCCUCUAUAUCUCUACUGGAUCUCUAUCUCUUCCUGAUCUUAUUCUUCACCAUAUGAUCUAUCUGUAGUUGCCAACACAGAUAAUAGUUAUAAUCAUAUAAAUCUUCCAUCGUUGCUUCGAUAUAUAGAGAAAUGGAAGGAAUGAGUUACAGUACUCUGCGAGAACUGGGAUGUGGAGGAAGCUUCUCCUUCAGCUGCUCCGACUCCGACUUGAACUUCUCCUCCGCGCUCUCCCAUUUCACCGACGACGUCGGCGAUGAUGUUGUUGAAGCAGACGAUAGUAGUGACGUCGACGAUGAAGAAUCAUACAUCGAAAUAGCACUCGAUCAUCAUCAUCACCAUCCUAAAGCAACUCAUGAGGAUUGUGAUGGAGACAGGUCAGACCAUGUCGAUUACUUGCGCAUAUCUUUCUCGUCGACCUUUCCCUUCCCGGACUUCUCCAACCACACCAACCCUAAUACUCAAGACGACACGAACAUCGUCUCCGAUACGACUACUGACCCAGCUGCAGUAGUAACGCAGGCAGCAGCAUCUUCAUCAUCCACGCCAAUAUCAGCGUCGUCGUCCACCUCAUUGGAAGACUUUGGGGGAUCCAAUCAUGAUGUUAGAACCAAAAGGUCGAAAUUGCCGGCUGUCAACCGCAUAGUCAAUACUUUGUUCUUUAGUCUCUGGUCAUCGUCCGACACCACCGCCAAGAAAGCUAGUGGUGCUGAGGAGCAUUAUAGUAUUCGUCAUCGCCAAUCGCAAGUGGACAACGGUGACUUCGUACAGUCCAGGUAUGUUGUUAAUUUCUUGUUAAUUUUUUGGCAAAACAUAUUAUAGAUCACCUCACAUAUACACUACUAGAGCCCCGUUCACCUGGUCAGUAGGUGACCAGAGAUUAUCUGGUUAACUGCCGUCAAAUUUGCUCGAUUUUGAUCCAAGAGUUGAGACACAUCAGAAGCUUUAUUAUUUCUGUCAUUAGAUCAAAAUCGAGCAGAUCCGAUGGCAGUUGACCAAAUAAUCCCUGGUCACCUACUGACCAGGUGAACGGGGCUUUACACUACUAAUGCCUGUUUUUACAAGUACCUUAGGUAUAUUGGAAAAUCAGCUGUUAUAUUAUUUACCACUAAACGAACUACUUAAAACAAUGUGACAUUUAAAUAAAAGAUACUCAUUUCAAUGGAGAUUGAAUCAUUUGUUUGGUUGCAUCUGCUUAGGAAAGUAUCAAACAUGAAAACCACAGUCAACGGCGGCAUCAUGAAGUUGAUUUUCAAGUUUCGAGCUAUGAAUCUUGGAACUUUGGUAGCUUCAUUUGUGAAACCCCGAAAAGUUGUUUGUCCUCCUGAUCAAGAGUACUGUCAUUUUAGUUACGGAGUACGCAAGAAAAAGAAAUCAAAAGCUCAGUCGACUCUUCAACAUCAGAAGCCCUUGGACAAAUUCUUCGUACAAAAGGAGCAGCAGAAAAAACAAGUCAAGAUGGACACUUCACGAGAGGUAGGAGGAGGAGGCGAGAAAUCCAGAGUGUUGGAGAAAAACUUAAAUGCAUUUAGAGGGGUUUUAGAAGCUAUAGGAAGUAGUAUGAGCACAGGCGUUAACCGCAAAGAAAGAAGAACAAGGAGCUGCCCAAGUUCUAUCAAGUCCUCCCCAAUUCAUAAAGAAUUUGCAGGAGGUGAUCAGAGUAAAAUAUUUGCAAGAGAAACCUCAAUUCAAGCUGCAAUUGCCCAUUGUAAAUUUUCAUUGGAAUAACCAUCUUGAUUUUGAUUAGCUUUUGAAUACCUCGUUUGGAUUCUCUCAAAGGGCAUCAACGACAAUACAGCAUGAUUUAGAGAGAAAUGGAGAUUUGAUUUUCUUUGUGUGUGUGUGUAUCGAGUAUUCGAUUAAGUGUUGGCUUUUGUUUUUGUCUUCGAACAAGCUCCCAAAGGAGAGAACAGACACGGCUCCUUCUCAUCAGCGUUCUAGGCAACGUUUCCAUUCAAACAAAGCUACGAAAUAUAAAAAAACAAAACGCUCCCUCUUUGUUUUUGUUUCUUUUUUGUCAAUAACAAAACGGUCACUCACUCUCACUCACUCUUAUUACUUCAACAAAACAACAACAGUUUCCGCUUACAGUAGAAAAUGAAAACAAUCGUUCAUGUGAGAUUCCCUAGGCUAGUGGACGAUAUGACACAGGGAAAUGCAUGCAGUAAUACUCACUGUAUACACUUGUAAAACAUGCAUGCUAAGAUGCAUAGUUGUGACUUAAUUACUUGUAAGAAAACAUGCUUCAUGCUUCAUCUCUCACGUCAUGGUCAGGUAUAUUUGAACGGUGGAGGAGCUUCAAUUUCUAGCGCUGUGAGGCUAUAUAUGAAACCCUGUUUGAUCAGUGAAAGCGUAGUUUCUAAAUUGUGAGUGCAGGUGCAAAAGUCGAGGACAACUGAAGUACGAGAUGGCAGCAGUACUGUUGAUAUUCUGGACGGUUCUCUUCAUUGUCACCGGGUGUGGCUCGAACCUAGAAGGAUUCGAUCAGCGCUGUGGAAGCAAGGCGUCAGAUCGAGGUCCGCAGAGUUCAUCUCUUUUCGGAAAUAUUUCCGAGAUGGAGAAGAUGCAUUCCGGCCACCGCCAAUAUGACCGGGAAAGCAUCGGAAGGUCGGAAUUUGAUGAAAGAUUGGGCACCUUUACUACACCCAACUCUUCAUAAUUAAAUGGGUAAAGGAGUAUGGUACGUAUGACAUUAUGUUAUAUGUUAGUCGAGAAUGAUUGACGAUAUAUAAUGUACUUGACUUGUUAAGUUGAUCUCAUGAUCAUUUCUAUUGAAUUAGAUGCAGGCAUGCAGUUUAUAAAUCUAGUAGUAAAGGGUAUGAAAAUCCAAUAUAUAUUGGCAUAUAUCCUAUAAGAGAGCUUAGAUCAUGCAUAAUGUUGAUUACGCAGGUCCAGUAUUCACGUACGCCACAGGCAGCCAUCAAUACCUCAUUACCUUGUUAUCAGCGAUCCACAUAUAGUAAAGGAGAUUAGAGUGCGCAACGCCACGGAUUUGUGUAGACCAGCAUAUAUGAAUAAGAACUUCUACGCUUUAACAGGUGAUAGCAUUUUUCUCACCGACGGAGAAAAGUGGGCAUACCAGAGGAAAGUUAUCGCCCCUGAAUUAUACCAUGACAAGGCUAAGGUACGUAUGUACGUAAGGUACGUAAUGAAUUGUAAUUAAUUUAGUAUGCAAGGGGGAAAAUUGUCAAUGAGAGAUUUCACAUACUGCAGUCUGCAGAUAUAUGGUUACGAUUAGAAUUUUGGAAACUGAAUCAUUUAAAUGAGAAGCUAUUUAUUCCAUUAUGUGAAGCACACACGUAUUUAUUUGCGUGACGACUAGUAUUCUGAUAACAUAUUAGUUGUUGCUGAGGUAAAUUAACUAAACAUGCCCAUCAAGAUGGUCUUUACAGGUAUAUAUGUCCCAUGGCAAUUAGAAGUUUAGAACUAGAAAAUAAGAGUAGACAAAGAGCAACCGAUAAAAAGUUCUCUCUCUCGCCGCUCUCCAAAACCCUAGGAGAGGCAUAAAUAAAUUUUCAGAUCUUGCCUGUCCGGCUGUGCCUCGUUGCCGGCGACGGCCUCUAGCCUAGUUGGCGUACGCUGUGCAUGGCCGGACGGGGUUUGAUGGAAGAGUUCUCGGUUGGGAGAUGAUGUUCGGCUGACUCCUCUCUUUUCUUUUCAGCUGAAGGCUUUGUCUAGCCAGGGUUGUGGGUAGCGAUCGGAGGUCACCUUGGACUUCUCAGGGACAAGACGAAGGCGAGUGGAUCUCAGAUUCAGGCGGGUUGGGUCCGAUCAUCUUGAUCGGAUUUUGUUUGCAGGUGACGAGAGAGACUUGAUCUCUGCCUGGGUCCUCGAAGUUUUACGCGAGAGGUGACGGUCAGUGGCGGUCGGCGGUGUCGUGGUUAGUCGGCGUCUUGCUGCUGGUCCGACAAAGGGUGGAAGGGAAGGACAGUGGUGAGGAAGUUGUUGGGCCGGGAGAAUUGGGCUUAGUUUAACUGAUCAGUUUCAUCAAGCUUGGGCUCUUGGUGUGCAGAAGUUGGGCUAGGGUCCCUAUUGGGUUGUGGUUUAGUUUCCGUUUACUUUAUUUUUAGUUUUUAGUUUAGACUAGACUACUCGCGGGUCUAGAGCAUUUUUCUUAGUAAUUGGUUUUGGUCAUUAAUUAGGUGCUUUGAUGCUCUGGGGUAGCCCCCUCUGCGUAGGGUGGUCCUGGACGUGGUCAAUAAUGAUAAGUUGUGGAUUUGUCCCUUCCUUCUUAUGUCUCGGUGGCUGAUUCUCGUUUGCUAUCACGGAAAAUUUAUCAUAGUAUUUCAUCCCAUGGUCUUCAGCAUAGAGAUUGCUUAGUGACUAAUAGGUAGGUUUACUAGGUAGUUUCGCAGGAUUGCCCUAGCGGGCAGAUCAGGUUCAUGUUGUUAUACUUACUCUUAAGUUGUGAUCAAUAAAAUAUUAAUGUUCUUGGAUAAAAAAAAACUCUUAAGUUGUGAUCAAUAAAAUAUUAAUGUUCUUGGAUAAAAAAAAGAAGAAGGUCUUUACAGGAUAUGUUGGGUACAAUGGUGAAAUUUGCAUCGUUAACUAUUAAAGAAGGGAUUAAAGAAUGGGAGAGACGUAUACAAGAAAACGAGUCGGGUGUUGCGGACAUGAGAAUUGAUGAGGAUUUGAGGACCAUAGCGAGGCAAAUCCUAUGAGAGGCUAUGUUUGAUUGGUUUUACUCCGAAGUAGGCAUCCAUAUUUUUGGGCAUAUUUCUAAAAUGCGUGAAGUAUUCGUUGCACCAAGUGUAUUCGAUGGGUUUUCAAAUUUGAGGUUUGCAGUUCAUAAGCUCUAGAUAUAGCGCUCUCUUAUGUUACACGUACACAUAUGCAUGUUGGUGUUACUCUCGUUGAUGAUUGUUCUAUCUUUAGUUAUUUGCCAAUAAGAUAUUCAAUUGAGUUCUACAGAUUAUUUCCAACACAGAAAAAAAAUAAGUUGAGGAGUUUACAGAGAGAGGUGGAUGAUAUGAUACUUGAAAAAGUAAGGGAUCGUUUGGUUGAUAUGCAACGGGACGACGCACCUAGAAAAGACCUAUUACAAGCUAUAUUUAAGAGGGGAUAUAGUACCGAGUACCGACAGGACCGCCCAACUGGAAACAGAUAGUUUUAUCUUGGAAACUACUUAGAGUAUGUACUUCGUAGGAGCUGAGAGCACUGCUACUGCAUCAGCAAGGACGUUGAUGUUUCGAAUUCUAUCAUUGCACCCAGCAUGGCAAGAGCGUAUUCACGCUGAGAUUGUUGAAGAACGAACCCAAAAUAUAUGUAUUUAUGUAUUAAAUGGGUUAUGAAUCUCUAGUUCAUCAUAAACAUAUGACAUGCAUCAUGCAUCAUAACUCACACAACUCAUCUUAUGUCAUGUGAGAGAGACAACCAUAUGCCAUAUGUGUAGGAUGCAACAUAGUUUUAGGCCUCGUUAUUUACACUUGUAUAAACCAAUGUACAUGUUGUAAACCUCAAUUCUCAUCUUAUGUCAUGUUAAACUGCAUCCACUCAUUCACAUUUAAUACAAUCUCCGCUAAAAAAAUUACCCAAUAUUAUAUACUGUAUAUACGCUACAUUCAUUCCAUAUAUACACUAAGGUGACUAAGCCACUCUUGCCUCCUUUACCCAUUGAUAUAUACUUGCAUCUAAACUAAAUUGGAUUACUUGCACCUAAACUAAAUUGGAUGGUUGCUUCUAACUCAAUCUUAUUUGCAUAUGUUGGGCUUUGUAAAUCAAUGGUCAAACUGGCCAUAUAUUAAGUCAACAUGUAACAAUCAUCUUAAAAAAAGAAAAAAUCAAAGAAAAAUAACUCAUUUACUCGUUCAAUAGCAUCAAACAAUAAAUUCCAAACAAGCUUUAACAAACAUGAAACUAGCUAGGGGCCUUAAUGUGCCAAAAAGGAACCAUUAUAAGGAUCUUCACACCCAGAUUGCAUCAUGACCCCAAAAAUUAAGGGUCAGAUGCUAAUGAGUUCAAGCCUGAAAGAUUUACAAAUACAAUCUACAACUUAUGCUAGUAUCCUGCUGCAUAUGCUCCAUUAGGUGUUAGGAGUUUAGGACUUCAAUUUGCCUUGGCCGAAAUUUGGCUAUGGCGGCUAUGGCUUAAAUAAAGAUAGUACUUUUCCUACUCCUAUCCACGUUCUCAUUUUUCAUUUCUUCAAAUUAUGAACAUUGUCAUGUCCUUAAAAUGUCUCUCUCGCCUGGACAUGGUAUGAGGCUCCAUGUUAAUCCUUGCCAAACAAAAGUUAAGUAGAUGGUUCAAAACUAUAUGGUUCAAAAUAGAGGUUGGUUGUCUUUUGGUUUCCUUAUUGGACAAUACUUGUGUUCGGAUUAGCAUUUACAUGUGCGUCCAAACUCUCAUUUAUUUACAUACUUUUGUCGAUGUAAAUCAUAAUUUUAACAGUUCAAAAUUUGAAUUGACCUCCUCCUAAAAAAAAAAAAAUUGAAUUAACCUAUAAAGAUCACCUAUGUAAAAUUUCAAUGUAAACAAACACCGUUUGCUUAGCCAAUUGCAUUAAACAAACCGACAAUUCUGGUGAAAGUUAGUAGUCUCAUGAUCAGCCGUCUAUUUGUUCGAUACAUUUGGUUGAGAAAACGAUAUUUGUUUACAUCUUUAUAGGUUAAUUCAACUUUUCAACGGUUAUGAUUUAUAUUGGUAAAAAUAUGUAAAUAAGAGAGUCCGGACGCACACAUACAUACUAGUUCGAAUACAAGUAUUUUCCUUCCUUAUUUCUUUUAAGUAGUUUUGGUGUGAUGUCACCUCUUUAGGUGUUUUCUUUUUAUUUCUUUAUUUGCCAUAAAAAGUUUAUGUCUUAGAUGGAAGGUUCAAUUUGGUCCAAUAAAAUUAGUCUUAAUAUAGCUAGAUAAAUCUCCAUAUAUGUAUAAUGGGUGCUGCUAUUUUCACCCUACAGACAUAUUUUCAACCCAAAUUUUCCACUUUUAUUCUUAUAACUAAAAUAUUAAUAAUAAGUUUAUUAGUUAAGUUGUUAAACACCCUAGAGUAUCUUGGUGACAAAAACGCUCCACAAAACCCGGAUAUUGUAACUAGGGUUUUUUGGUUUUCCUCCCUCAGUCCAACGACGUGUCCAUUGACGCCGUCGUCAGACGGGAUUUCUCUUAGUAUUGGAAGGUGCGAGGGUAGUUCUAUGGCUCUCCAAUGCGGUUCGAUGAAGGAGAUGGACGAAGCGAUCACGUAUGUGGGGAGAUCCAAUUCAUGUUGGCCGGUUUUGAAUGCGGCUCGGAUUGAUGAUGCGUCUUUUUUGUCAUAGUUGAUGCGUUAACGACGUGGAGUGGUGGCACAUGGAUAGGAGUAGAUCGGAGCUGGAGAGAUCAUGACUGCUUCGUUAUGUUUGGAUCGGUUUGACCCGAUUUGGAUUGCUUUGCUAGGGAGCAAUUUGGGGAGGGAUUGCUAGGAGGAUGUGCGGCCUUUGUAUGGCGUGUUACAGAGGUUGGAUGGGUGCCGACAACAGUCUGACAACGGCGGUGGGGCGGAGUGAAUAUCCUACUGAGUUGGGCCAGCGUGUUGUUGGGUUGGAUUUGCUUAAUGGGCUUUGUCCUUCUUGUUUAUGGGCUUGCUGGUUGGGUCUAGGUCCUACUCUUGGGCUUUAUUUUCUAUUUUUAUAUAUUGGUGUUUUUGGUUAGGUUUCUGAGUUUUCUUGUUUUCGUUAGGUUUAAUAAGUCCGUCCUCUUUUGAGCGAGGGUUGAGGUGUUUUGAUUUGGUUGGUGCGCUACUUUGGUGGUGUCAUUCUUGGGGAUUAUGUAUAUAUAUUUCAGUGAUGUCUGAUUGUCAACAUGAGGGUGGAUUGUCUUUGCACGUGGUUUGAUGGUUUUUGGACACGGUGUUGAAGAAGGAUAAUUGGCUCGGUUUAUUGUUGGUGACAAGGUUGUAUUGUUACUCUCAGGCUUGGGUAGCUUGUGUCGAGCCUAAAAUUUGGUUAGGGGUUGAGCUCUUUUGGCUCAUGGAUGUUGCUUUUAGUGAUGGACCCGUAACUACGGAUCUUGGUAGGAAUGUGUGUUGUGGUGUAAGCAUCACAACCGGUCAUUCCAAUAUGAUGUAGUGACGGACCAUUAACUAUAGAUCUUGGUAGGAAUGUGUGUUGUGGUGUAAGCAUCACAACCGAUCAUUUCAAUGUGCUGUAGUGACGGACCCGUAACUACAGAUAAAUAGGAAUGUGUUGUGGUGUAAGCAUCACAACUGGUCAUUCCAAUGUGUUGUAGUGACGGACCCGUAACUACGGAUCUUGGUAGGAAUGUGUGUUGUGGUGUAGGCAUCACAAUCGGUCAUUCCAAUGUGUUGUAAUUUCUUUUGAUUAUUAAUGAAUUUUCUUCUCAAAAAUAAAAUAAAACAUUAAUAAUAACAUAAAAUACAUAGAAAACAAAAAUUGAACAAAGAAAAUAAAUGAAAAUAAACUAGAUAAACUUCUUCUUUGCUUCUUAUGCAGAUCCUUCUUCCAUCUUACGGCUUCACCAGUAAUCUGAAUCUCCUCUCUUUCUAAUUAAAUAUUUUUCUCUCUAGAACCAAUAUCUCAUUCUCCCUUCAAUUUCAUUUUGGUUUCUUCCAAAGAAUAUAUUGUUAAUAUGUAAUUUAUUUUUUGAGAUACAUCUGUAUUAUGAAUUUUUGGUCACAACUAUUUCAUUGGUUUUCUCAAUCUUGAGUCUCGAUCUCUUCCAAGUUAUGUGAAAUAUUCUAGAGAUUAUUAUCAUUUUUUUAGUUUGGUUUGUCUUCCUAAUUUGUGAUGGAGAGAUUAUGCUAUUUUUUUUUCAGUUUAGGUUUUCUUUUAUUAGUUUUGCAGUUUUUAUUCUCCUAUUGAAUUGUAUUUAGGGUAAAACUGAAAUAUUAAGAUUUGUAGGGUGAACUAAAAAAACUGUAGGGUGGAAAUAGCCUCAUCCAUGUAUAAUUUAUGGAUUGAAUGGGUUGUCAUUCUUUGGUUCACCAUAAACAUGUGACUACAUGACAUGCAUCAUGCAUCACAACUUAAACAACUCAUCACACCUUAUGUGUCAUGUGAGAGAAGUCACUAUAUGCCAUGUGUAUAACAUGCAAUAGUUAGGCCUCAUUAUUUACACUUGUUUCAACCAGAAUGCUUUUGUUGUAAAACUCAAUACUCAUCUUAGGUCAUGUUAAAUUAUAUCCACUCAUUCACAUUUUAUACAGUAUCUGCUAAAUAAAUUAGCCUAGAUUACAUACCAUAUAUAUGCAAACUACCUUCAUCCAAUAUAUACAGUACAUCACUCUUGCCUCCUUUACCCAUUUUCCAUUGCUAUAAGUUGUAAUAGUUUGUGCAUCACUUCUCCAUUUCUGAUUGAUCCUCAUCAUCUCCUAGCAAGAGAUCGAGCUAGCUAUAGAGAUGGAAGUGGAUGCUCUACCGAUAUGGUGGUCUGUUUUGUUUAUUGGUGUAUCGAGCUUGGUAAUGAAAUUGCUUAACAAGUUUUGGUUCGAGCCUAGAAGGAUUCGAACAGUGCUUUCGAAACAAGGGAUUAGAGGACCACCGCCCACCUUCCUUUUAGGCAAUGUCUCCGAGAUGCAAAAGAUUCAAUCCGCCCUGAUCAACAACACGCAUGAAGCGUUGGAUAGUCACCGCCAUCUCAACCACAAUUGGCUUCCUUUUGUAUUUCCACAUAUUUAUGAAUGGGCAAAAGAGUACGGUAAGUUUAGCUUAUGAAGAAAUUCAAAGGAGAAUUCAUUUGAUUUAGAAUGAUUGAGAAAAUAAAGUAUAAAGAAGAUAGACAUAUCAUUUACCAGUUUUACCUGUAGAUUAACUUGAUAAUUUGCAGGUCCUAUAUUCAUGUACUCAACAGGGGUCAACCACCACCUGUAUGUGAGCGAUCCCGAAUUGUUAAUGGAGAUAAAACAAAACAACUCCCUAAAUCUAGGGAAACCUCCAUAUCUGGGUAAACCACUCCAACCCUUGUUAGGUGAUGGCCUUAUUCGCAGUAAUGGUGAAAAAUGGGCUGUACAAAGGAAUCUUCUUGCUCCGGAAUUCUUCCUUGCCAAGGUUAAGGUAAAGUGGUAAACACACUUUUAGACUCCAAAAAAAAAUGAAGUUGUUUUGUAGAUAAAUAACAUAAGUCUCGUUUAGUUUGCGGAAAGUAAGCAUCAUGAAAUGAAAACUGUUUCUUUCCUGCGUUUGGGAAUGCUUAAAGGAAAGGGAAUAGUUUCCUGAACCUGAAGGGAAAAAAAUAUAGGGGAAAGUGGUUCAUUCUAUUGCAUUUAUUAUUCAUAUCAUAUUAUUUUAAUUUAUUGAUUUAAUUAACAACUUUCUAUUAGAUUUUAUUUUUCCUUAUGUUACCAAACAUCGAUCGAAACAAAAAGUUGUCGAGAAACUUCAUUUCCUCUCUCUUUCCAUUCCUGUGGGAAAGACGAAUGGAUUACUUUCCUUUCCUUAAAUCAAAUGAGGCCUUAUUGUAGAAGAUUCAAAUAGAUAUGCAUUCCAACUAGCUAGUAACUAAUAACAACCGGGUGUGAGAGAGUUCCAAAUCCUUCAAAAGCAUUUUAAGAAUUGUAUGUGAAGUUUUAUUUUCACUUGCUCGGAGUUUAGUGUCAGGUAGAAGAUAUGUGCCUACAAGGCGAGUUGCUUUUGAUGAUGUACAUAGACUACUUUUAGUUUUAGCGUUGUAAUAGAGUCGUCUAUUUGUACUAUACUUUACCUAUGAACCUGGGCUAUAUAGAUGGAAUAUGAUUCGUGACAUCCAACAAAUUUUUUUGACUUGUAUAUAAUUCAUAGUAGUUAGUGUUGGUAAAUUAUUGAUUUUUUGUUUUUAAACAAAAUGAAAGUUUUUAUUGAUAAUUCGGAGGCCAAAUGACUACAUAUAUAUGAUAACCUCAAGGGUUAUAUAGAACCAUUACAUUUGAAUUUGAUGCUCACUUAUUCAUAAGCACAGCAGAGUGUACAAAAAUUAGAACAAUAAAGAUACUAUAGAGUUAAUAAUUUAAUACAACAAUAGUUUUUUUUUUUUUUUUGAAAUUUUUUUAAUACAACAAUAGUUGUUAUAUUAUAAGUUAGAUGGCCACACACUAUGAACGUCGAUCAAAAAAGAAAAAGAAUCUGGUUUUUCUUACAAGUUUCAACAUCUCAGGUUUAUUCUUGUACAUUAUUCUCUCUCUUUUGGUUAACAAAGCCUAUUAUUUGUAUACGGUAGAGAAUCAAGGACAAUACAUUAUACAUACCAAUUCUAUUUAUCGUCGAACUGUUAGAAACUGUAUUAGAUUGAUAACCUAGCGGGUUGAUCGAGCACCAUAUCUGACUGAAAGAGUGAAGCAUAUUGUAGGGCAUGGUGGGUGUGAUGGUGGAAUCUACAACAUCAAUGAUCAAUACAUGGGAUUGUCGUAUACUAGAAAGCAAAUCUGGCAUUGUGGACAUGGAAGUCGAUGACGAGUUGAAGACACUAUCUGCAGAUAUCAUAUCAAGAGCAUGUUUCGGCAGUUCUCACUCCUUUGGAAAUCAGAUACUUGAAAAGAUUGCUCAAAUGGUGGACAUUUUGGGGAAACCAAGCUUACUAUAUGGCUUUCUUGAUUUUAGCUGGUUAGCUAAUUUUAUUCUUUUUUGACCUUUUAUAUAAUUAGUAAUACUAGUUAGCCCAUGUUUCUCUAAUUUCAGAUGUUGUUCCUGCAGGGUGCUUCCUAACAAGAAGUUAUGGAAUCUAAGGAAAGAAGUGGACUUUAUGUUGCUCAAGUUAGUGAGGGAUCGCCAGGUUAAACGACAAUCAGGUGCCGCAACAGAAAAUGACCUAUUACAAAUGCUACUCGAUAUUGCUUCUACUAACACCACUGACAUUCCUACACGUCGAAGAGAAGCUUUCAUUCUAGACAAUUGCAGAACUAUCUACUUUGCAAGCUCUGUAGCCACUUCUCUUACGGCAUCAUGGACCUUGGUGCUUCUGUCGCAGCACCCCGAAUGGCAGGACCGCAUUCGUGCGGAGAUCGUUGAGGUUUGUGGGGGUCCGGAUAAACUCCAUCAUUGCUUGCGCAACCCGGACGUGUUGCGCAAGUUCAAAGUGGUACAAAUUCCUCAGAUUCUUAUAUUCAUGUUUCAUAAUCAAUGCGUGUCAAAUGUUCGAAUAAGUAUACUCAGAAUUGCUUCUACAUUUAUCAAUUUAUGCAGCUGACUAUGGUGAUUCAAGAGAGUAUGCGUCUUUAUGCAUCUGCAGUUCUACUUGUAAGAGCUGCCCUGGAGAAUGUGAAGUUGGGCAACCUUGAUGUGCCAAAAGGCACUAUCAUCCAGGUAUGCAGUGCUACAUUACACCGCGACCCUGAAAAUUGGGGUCCGGAUGCUGAUGAGUUUAAGCCGGAGAGGUUUGCAAAUGGGAUAUCUAAUGCGUGCAAGCAUCCCCAAGCUUAUGUGCCAUUUGGUUUUGGGCAUCGAGUGUGCAUUGGACAGACUUUUGCUAUAACACAACUGAAGAUAGAGCUCUCUCUAAUCUUGUCCAAGUUCGCAUUUUCCCUUUCUCCAAACUACCGCCAUGCACCUUCUCACAAAAUGUUACUGAUGCCUAAACAUGGAAUCAGACUCCUUGUUAAGCCUGUGCAAGCAGGCUAGAGAAAUAUGUAGUCAUCCCAGGUUGUCUACAUGUCCUGAAGUGACUAGCUUGGAUUAGAUUUGAAAUAAAAGAAUGCGGACCUAUAAGUCCACACAGUGUAAACUUUUCGGAUCCUUUUCAAUGUUCUUGAGUUUGAUCUGUCUCUCUUUAGGUUGACGAUGACAAAAUCAAAAGACCAAUGUGGAGUCCAUGCACAUAGUGCAAUUUAAGCUUGAAAGUGAUCUUUUACCAUUUACGUUGCUCCUAGUUUUCGACUCCAUUAUCUUCUCGAAAAAAAAAAAAAAAAAUUCAACUCCAUUCUUUUGAAUUAUUCUUAGUUGAAGUUGAGGUUUGAAGUUCUUUCAUAACUCGAUCAUAGAUUCGUAAGUAAUUAUAUUGUUCAUUUUCUGCUAUUUGGUUUUCGUUUUCCCUUCCUCCGAAGUAUCGUCAUUCUAUAUAUCCACAAAACUGUAUUGAUGUCUGAACAUGGAAUCCGACUCCUAGUUAGACGUGUGCAAGCUAGUUCUAAUGAAGUAAGUACGUACUUGUUUUUGCAAACUAUCUGCAUGUCAAAAAUUUAUCUGGAGCUAGAUAUGCAAUAAAAGAAGAAUUCCGAAAUACAUCAAACUAAUCUUUUUUCCAUUUACGCAAGUCAUUUUUAUUGUAAAGUUGUACCCGUUUAUUGCAUUACAUUAUAUUUCUCAUGUUUGGUUUGUUCUUGGUCCUUCAGACUUGGGCAUCACCAGGGCCGGCCAAAUAUUAUAAUGAAGCUUGAUUGUAAAAUACUGAACAUGGUCAGUGAGCCGUGGCGUGGUUGGUUUAGGUGGUUAACUAACAAUUUUGACGUCAUGGGUUCAAAUCUCAUUGACAUAUGUAGGGUGUGUGAGUUAUUUAAUAAAAAGUUUUUAAAAAUAAAUAAAUAAAUAAAUAAAUACUGAACAUUGUAUCAGCUAGAUGAUUUAAAGCAAGUAGUCCAAGAAAAUCAUGACUAUAUAAUUACUUGUAACAUAUUGUGUUCUUUUCCUUUUCUUCUAGUCAAAACCAGUUAGCUAGCGAACCCAUUCAUGUCUCAUGGGAAUUAUUCGUCCGGACGAAUAUUUUAAUUUUAUGUGUUUUGUGACAUAUAUUUGUCAAAACUUUUGUCGACUGAUGAAGACAAAAAUCCAAAAGAGAAAACCAACAUGCAUGUUCGAAUCCAAGAUUGUUUAUUCUAUCUAGCAAGCUUGGCAAGACUUUGAUGUACAAUGAAAGCUAUAUAUAUAUACAUAUAUAUAAUACGUAAUUGUCAUAUCGUAUGAUUUGUGAAGUCGAAUCAAAAUGACUAUUUUGAAGACAUUGUUUUGAUCGACAUAUUAUUCAAUUAAAAAAACAAAAAUCUUUAAGAGAUGAGCUUUGAUUCUUAUGAUAGUCCCAGCAAUAACACACGGUGACACGGGUUUAGUCCAAAGUUUCGAUAGGUCGUAUGGUUCAUAUAUUUUGAAUCGACAAAGAUUGUAUUUUGAUUGGAAGAAAGACUUGUACUAGAAGAUUAUAUGACUAUGAGUAGCUAGGAUGGGAUGUGUACUAAGUUGGUAGAAUUGAUUGUAAUAUUGAUACAAUCAUUUCGAGGCAAUCAUUUCCUAGGCCAUAUCUAUGCAGGUUGACAUGAACUAUACCAACUCCAUAUUAAUGUCAUUCACCCAGAUCCAGUCCUAGCUAGUUACUCCUUCACAGUCACAGUGAAAGUUGGGUGCACUGAGACGAGAAUCCUCGCUACUUUAUAAAGUUCUUCCCGAAGUUGAAGAAGCUAGCUACUUAGCUAGUACAAUCUGUAAAGCUUCUUAAUCUCUGAAACAAAGAGAGAUGGAGGAGGGUCUAAAGCUAGCAGUACUAGUGUGUUGGUCAGUUUUUCUGCUUGGUGUAUUGAGCUUGUUGAUGAGAUUUCUUAGACAGAUGUGGCUGAAGCCUGCAAGGAUACGAUCGGUGCUUUCGAAACAAGGCAUCCGAGGGCCACGGCCUUCUUUUCUGGUUGGGAACGUUCCGGAGAUGCAAAAGAUUCAAUCCAACAUUACCAGCAUGAUCACCCUGCAGAAACAACCAUCUGAUAUUGAUUGUCAACGAGUGCAGCACAAUUGGGAUUCCUCUGUGUUUCCCUACCUUCAGCAAUGGGCACGCGAGUAUGGUGUGUGUUCUUCUUCUUCUUUUUUAAUUCUUUUUACUGUGUGAUAAAUUGGCCUAGCUUCCAGUAAUUAGUGCAUAACUGAAUAUGGAUGAUUAUUAACUAUAAUUUAGUAUUUCAGAUCUUAAUUAACCACAUUUCUAGCUACUACUCGUGACAUAGUACCAUUUCAUUCGGAAAAUGAUUCUAGGCUUUAUUAAGGUCUAAGAUUUUAGGUCUCAAAUCUAUGUGGCAUGUCAAAUCAUUUAGACACAUCACAUAUUACAAAUCUUAUACCAUGUAAUACUUAAGUAUAAAGACCAUCUUACCAUUUGGUCCAUUUCAAACAAUGACUCUAAUAAAUUUCAGUUUUUCAUUGAAAAAUAAAACUAUUUUAGCUUUCCUUCUUCUAAAUAUCUAAUUAAAUAUAAAAAAUAUAACAACAAAAUAACAUUGUAUUAUAUAUUUAUAAUACAUGUAUAUUAUAAAAAAAAAUACAUGUAUAUUAUAUAAAUAAUCUGUAUGUAAAUCAUUUAGAGAAAUUAUUUGUAUAUAAAUUAUUUUUUAGACGAAUUAUAGAAAAUUUUGAUGAAUUAUAUCCGAAUUAUCUUAUAUUAGUAUUUUCUUUUUGAUGAAUUAUAAUUACUUUUUGGACGAAUUAGGGUUAGGGUUAGAGUUUAUUUGACAAAACUAAUUAUUAUUUAAAAAAUAGUUAAUCUUCAUAUUGAUGUAAAAAAUAUUCCUUAUAUUAUACAUAAUUAGUGGUUGCUAUUAAUAUGUAAUAUUUGUUUCCAUUACCUAAUAAAGUACAUUAAUAUCAUUGAUUCACCCCUUAAAAUAUAAAAGGAAAUAAAAAUGGUAAAAUUGGUAAUGCAAUGUUUUGAUUUGGUAAGAUAUAUUAUGUGGAAUUGAAAAAAUAUAUUUUUAUUUACUUACAUGGCAUGACACAUAGGAUUAAAGCCAUAAAUUUUAGGCCUUAUUAAGACCCUCUAGCACUACCUUUUCAUUCUUUAGGUUUUUUUUUCCAUCACUAAUAUAAUAUCGAUUUUUCAUUUUCAAAAUUGAAACUAUUGUUUUUAAGUUCUAAAAACCAAUACGAACUGAUAUAGCGAAUUUUUUGUGUAUGUACUAAUUAACUAACUUGACUGAUCCAAGUUUUAGGAUAUCUUGAUUGUGAUUUGGUCCAUAAUAUGAGUCGAUCAUAUGAUCAUUAAAAUUUUCAAACUAUCAUGGAAACGAGAAUUAGAUUACUUGUAUAAUUGGAGUCGAAAUUUGUGUACACACGUACAGAUGAAUAAAUCGAUAAAUUAAUAAGGUAUGAUAUAUAGCUAGCUUGUUUUCAUUCUAGAUCAAAACCCCUUUUGGAGUCCUAGGAACAAAAAUUCCUGGACUCAUAUGCCUUCUGAUCGAUUCUUUUGUCUAUCUAACUAUGAAAUGAUGACUACCCAGUCCCCAAGUCCUAAAUUACUUAGAAAACUAUGAUAACAGCAUGCAUGUAACGGUAAUUUACCACGGUUAAUUAAUUUAAUUAACGACUAUGCAGCUUUCUAAAAAAUAAAAAAAUUAACGACUAUGCAGGUCCGGUAUUCUUGUACUCCACUGGAGCCAAACAACACUUGUAUGUGAGCGAUCCUAAGUUGUUAAGGGAGCUGAAGCUGCACAACUCCUUAAACUUGUGCAGACCAACAUAUCUGAGUAAGCCACUAAAGCCAUUGCUUGGUAACGGCCUUAUUGUAGCUAACGGACAUGAAUGGGCUUACCAAAGGAAACUUAUUGCUCCUGAAUUCUUCCUCGACAAAGUUAAGGUAUUCACAGAGUACGCUACAUCAGAUCGACUACCUGAAUCGAUCAUUGUGAUCCUUCAAAUUAAGUUUUAAGCAUACACGAGGUAAGUGAAAUUUCAUGACCAAAAUGUGUAGGGCAUGGUAGGUUUAAUGGAGGAAUCAACGAUGGCACUACUGGAGACAUGGGAGAGCCUAAUACUAGAAAGCGAGUCAGGCGUUGCUGAGAUAAGGAUGGAUCAGGAUUUGAAGACACUCUCGGCAGAUAUAAUAUCAAGAGCUUGUUUUGGCAGUUCAUAUUCCCAGGGCAACCAGAUUUUUGCAAAGAUUGCUUUCUUGCAAGACGCUUUGUCCAAACCUAAUAUGCUCUUUGGAUUUCUGAACUUCAGGUUUGUUACGUACGUACACGUACAUUCUCUCUAGGUAUCCUUCCUUUUUUUUUUCCCUUCUGAAUUACUAUUCUCUUUUAUAUAUGUACAUAUUGCAGAUUCUUUCGCACUGAGACUGACAAGAAGAUAAGAAGCAUGAACAAAGAGGUGGAUGAUAUGUUACUCAAAUUAGUGAAUGAUCGUCGGGCUCAAAGCAAGUUGGGUGGUGUUGAGAAGAAAGAUCUAUUAGAAAUGAUACUUGAAAGUGCUGCUAGAGAUAAUAGUCAUAAUACUGACAUGCCUCAUUAUAGACAUAAAACAGACCGUUUUAUUCUGGACAAUUGUAGAAAUAUCUACUUUGCAGGUUCUGAGACCACUGCUCUUACAGUUUCAUGGACCUUGAUGCUUCUUUCGUUGCACCCGGAAUGGCAGGAACGUAUUCGCGCAGAGAUCGUUGAGGUUGGCGGAGAUCAUGAACUCUACCAUUGCUUGCAAGACAUGGAUAUAGUCCGCAAGUUCAAAACGGUAUUACUUAAAUUCUCGUCACCUUACUUUUCAUUUUCUAGGUCGAAAACAAUUCACAAAACGAUGUGUACGUUAGUGCAUCUUGCAUGUUGGAGUUAAAUGAGAAGUUUAUUCUUAUUCAAUAAGAUUUGAUGAGCUUAACACUACUACUCUUACGCAAAAUGUGUCAUUAUGCAGCUGACGAUGGUGAUUCUAGAGAGCCUCCGUCUUUAUGGCCCAGGAGUCAUAGCAGCAAGAGAAGCUCUAACCAACAUGAAGUUGGGGGACCUUGAUGUCCCGGAAGGCAUCCACAUGUGGGUUUACCAUCCGGCAUUGCAUCGUGACACCGAAAAUUGGGGUGCGGAUGCUAAUGAGUUUAAGCCGGAGAGGUUUGCAAAUGGAGUGUCUGAAUCGUGCAAGUAUCCCCAAGCAUACAUGCCAUUUGGUUUUGGGACUCGAUUGUGCAUAGGUCAGACAUUUGCCAUGCUACAACUGAAGAUAGUACUCUCUCUGAUUUUAUCCAAGUUCUCAUUCUCCCUUUCUCCAAACUAUCGCCAUUCUCCUGUUUAUAAGAUGUUACUGUUGCCUGAGCAUGGGAUAAGACUCAUUGUGAGGCGUGUGUAGUGAGUUACCUAGCUAGCUGGCUUCCGAUGUUGAUAUCAGUGAACCAAUUAAGCAUGCAACAGAUUUCCGGCCUAUUGAAAUACUUCUAUUUCAAUUUGUGUAGGUAACUAACAUUAUAUAACAGGUUUACUGGAGGUGGUUACUGGUUACUAACUUACUAUUAGUAAAUUGGGGUUUGGAAUUUCAAUAUAUAAUGCAUGCAUCCAUGUCUAGUGAAUUGCCGUAUUAGCAGUAGAAGACACCAGCAUAAGCUCACGACAAGGCAAUUGGGACAAGCACUAGCUUUUCCAGAUAGAAGUGAUUAGGUAUUGAUAGCAUGGAACUGAUGGAAAGAAGCUAGCGCGCCCUAGUCCCCAGUCAAAUCCAAAAGGCUUUUUGCCUCCAAAUCUGAAGCUGAUAAAGGAAGCUUCAUUUCCCUAAUAGUUGCCUGACAGAUUACGUUGUUACUGUCAGUGUCGUCACCAGAAUCAUUUGAGCUUUAGGGCCCUGAGCUUUAAGCAGGACACUGUACGAGUGUACGUCACUAGUUCAUCCAUAUAGUGCAGAAAAUGGUGGACUUUGUAAACUGACUAAACUCCUCCCUGGUAAUUGAGAAUAAGCUCAAAAGCCUUCACGCUCUUCUCCUUGUUAAUUGGGGCUUAAUUUGUUUCUCCAUCCUUACUUUGGUUGAUGCAGCAGAACUGAUAACGUAACGAUAACGUAACGUUGGAAUCCACCAACAAUAGACUUGAAUUCAUAAGUCUGGUUUUCUCAAAUCCACGAGAGAAUCUGAAAUUCACCAGAAAAGUUGAAAGAAUCUCAAGAGUACUUUAUUAAUAGAAAAGAUGACGACUACAACUGAUUAAGAGUCUUUAUAUAGGAAAAUAAAUCAUAAGGCAACUAAUAACCAAGCCUAAAGGCCCAUGGAUUACAAAGAAAACUAAAUCAAAAACAAACUUAGAAAAAAAAAAAUACUGAAACAAGUAAUUGAAUCUACGUUUUGAGGCCCUAAACGGACUCAAAUGGCCGAAAAAACUCAUACAUUGAGCAAAACACCGUGUUUGACUCGUAUCGCCGUUUCGCUUCCGGAAAGGUGUUAUAAUUAGCAAUCGGACAUCGAAUGCCGAAUCUGGAGCAAACCGGGUUUAGACUUGCAAUAAUAAAUUUGUUCUUCAAUCUUUAAUGUCAUCUGUUCUACAUCAGUCUCCUCCACUUCAGUAGAACUCGAUCUCGAGUUAUUAUCGCCAUAAAGAGAUACAUCCUCAUGCAACUCAUAUAAAUCAGCUACAUUGAAAUAAUUUGAAAUCCCCAUAGAAAUCAAUAGCAUAAACAUUAUCAUUAAUCCUCUUAAUUUAGUACCUUGAAUGGACCAUAUUUCUUGGGCUUCAGCUUGUUGUAUGUACCAACUGUGAACCUCAUUUUCCUUAGAAAAAUCAUGACUGAGUCCCCUUCCUCAAACACCUUCACACGUCUGCGCUGUUUACAGCAGCCUUAUACUUGGCGUUUGUCUUCUCUAACUUUGCUUUAACUUCUUCCUGAACAGUUUGAACUCCCUCAACCAUUUUAACUGCAGCAUCACUAACACCACGUCCCUUUGGUAAUUUUGCUAAAUCAACCACAUGUCGUGGGCCAGAAGUAUAAACCACUGUAAAAGGUGAUUUACCAAGGGCACUAUGCACAGAACUAUUGUAAGCAAACUUAACCUGAGGCAAAGCAAGAUCCCACUGUUUUUGGUUUAUCUCCACAUACACUUUUGAUCAUAUUACCCAAACUCAUGUUUGUAACCUCGAUCUGACCAUCAGUUUGGGAGUGAGCUGUAGUACUCCUCUUCAAGGUCGUCCCAAACUACUUCCACAGUGUAAGCCAAAAGUGACUCAAGAACUUUGUGUCACAGUCAGAAGUAAUAGAUUUAGGCACUCCAUGCAAACAAACAACCUCACUGAAAAACAAUUUGCCUAUAUUUGCAAGAUCUGCAGUCUUCUUGCAAGGAAUAAAGUGAGUCAUCUUUGAAAAUCUAUCCACCACCACAAACACAAAAUCCACCCCUCUUUGAGUUCGAGGUAAACCCCACACAAAAUCCAUAGAAAAAUCCUGCCAAAUAUCAUCAGGAACAUCGAACAUGUAAAGGCAUGUAAAGACCAGUAUUUUAGGACUGACCCUUUGAUACCUGACAAAUAUAUCACUUCCUGACAAUAUAGCUGACGUCUCUCUUCAAUUGAGGCCAAUAAUAGCGCUCCUCCAAGCUUGCAAUUGUCUUAUCUUUUCCGAAGUGACCACUUAAACCUCCACCAUGUAAAUCACGAAUUAUUUUUUCUCUAAGAGAAGAUAUGGGAACACACAGUUUGUUACCUCGGAAUAGCAUUAAUAAGAAACCCAACAACUGGUUGCUUCUUGCUAAUACACUGCUCCCAAAUCUGCUUAAAAUCAUCAUCUGCCUCAUAUAAUUCUUUCAAAAAUUCAAAACCAGUUACCUCUUGGGAUAGAGUAACCAACAAAUCAGCUUGCCAGCUCAAUGCAUUUGCGACCUUGUUGAGAGUUCCAGAUUUAUGCUUGAUCAUAAAAGAGAAUUUCUGCAAAAACAUCACCCAUCUGAUAUGCAUCUUAUUCACAUGCUUCUGGCUGUUUAGGUACUUCAAGGCCUGAUGAUCAGUAAAUAGAAUGACAAUUAUAAUACCUUUCCGGUGAUAAACAUUGAAGAACAAAUUGAUCGUUGCAAGUUCAAAUCCGGUUUGCUUUAGAUUUGGCAUUCGUUGUCCGAUUGCUAAUUAUAAUAUCUUACGAGUCAAACUUAGCUUGGCGCUUCACCCCGAUGUAUGGGCUUUUUCGGUCAUUCGAGUUUGUUCAGAGUCUUAAAAUGCAGAUUUACUUGUUUUAGUAUCUUUUUUCUAAGUUUUUUUUGGAUUUGGUUUUCUUUGUAAUUCAUGGGCUUUUUUAUUAAGGGAAAAUGCCUUAAUGCCCAAAUAUUUAAAAACUAAAGCCCAUUCCAAUGAUAAUAAGAUUCUUGACCCUAAUUAAAUGAAAAAGAGACUUAUUUGUGCCUAAAUACACAAAUCUUUAUUAAAUUCAUAAUAAAAUAAUAUUUUAUAGACAUUUUUACCCUUGGUCCUUGUAUAUAUGCUUAGAGAGAGAAAGUGUAAGAGAGAGAGAAAAGACUUUGCCGGCAGCUCAUCGGAUCUCCGGACACCGGCUGCCGGACUCCGGACUCCGGUCGCGGGACUCCGGUUACCGGACAUCGGCCGCCGAACUCGGUUACUGACCCUCAGUAACUCGGUUACUCCGGCGACCGAUCGCCGGAACUUGGUUACUGACCCAUAAUAACUCGGUUACUGACCCCAGAAAUUCAGUUACUGACCCAAUAAACUCAGUUACUGAUCCUUAGUAACUUGGUUACUCCGGUGACGGAUAGUCGGAACUCAGUUUCUGACCCGAGAAAUUCAGUUACUGACAAAAAAAACUCAGUUAUGGACCUCAGAAAUUCAGUUACUAACCUAAAAAAACUCAGUUACUGACGCCCAGUAACUCAGUUACUGAUCCCCAAUAAUCGACUUAUUGGCUCUAAAUGUUGUAGAAACUCAGUUUCUAACCCUUAAAAACUAACAUUCAGACCCCAGAAACCUUGUUAAUGCCCCCCAAAUACAUAAAAGCCCACCAACAAACAUCAUACUUCCAUUUCAUCUUCACCGUUGCCGACAUUCAAUAUUCAACAUAAUAUAACUACCACAAUAAUGAUUCUUCUUAGUAAUACAAGAAAAAAAUGUCACAAUAACCAAUAUGUUCAACAUUCAACAAGUAAAAUAUACAAAUCCAACCAAAAUUCACAAUAACAGAAAAAGCAAAAACAAGAGAAAAGUGGAGAGAGAGAGAGAGAGAGAGAAUUCAAAGUUAGCGGAGCUUGGCGUACUCUUCGGCUUUGGAGGAAGGGAGGGAGCGGAGGGAGGUGGUGUUGGAAAGAUCGACGCAGGCGUUCUAGAGGUGGUAACUAAGUUUCCAGAUGACGAGCUUGAGAUAGUUGGGGAACGGAUCGGAGCGUGGUGGCUCAGUUGAGUCAAAGGCAUGAUCGAAGAAGAGUUGGACCACAUGGCCUGCAAACGACGUCGUGCUAUUAAGAGAGUUGGACCCGACUAACCUGUUUCUCAACUAAACAGCGUCGUCGGUGGAUCGGCGGUUAUAUUAUUGGCCAGAGGAGUCGAUCGGCGGCGGGACAGCUUCAUGGAUCCAAGGAGAUCUUUCUCCUUUUUCUCCUAGCGCAGAUAGUUGAGGACCAUAACGACGACGUAGAUCCAGGCGAACUCUGUGGCCGGAUCGGAGAAGAAGCAGAACGGCGGCGGAGCUUGAGAGAGAGAGAGAGAGAGAGAGAUGAGAUGGUUAAUAAUAGAGUUAAAGAUAUUUUAGUCUUUGUCUUAAGAUUUGUGUAAUUGGGCAUAGUAAACAGAUUUUCAUUAGAAUAGACAAUUAGUUUAUAUAAUUAGUAUUAAAUGGACAUUUUCUCUUUUAUUAAUAAAACCCUUGAGAUUUUCUUAACUUUUUUGGUGGAUUCACGUUUAAGGGUAUUAACACCACAUCAUGUAUUAACGUUUUACUACAUACGUACCCUUAAACUUUCUAAACUACCUUAAUUCAUAAAAUACCAUACCCAUUCAUUAAUACACAUCCUAAUUUCAUAUAGGUUUCUACAGGUUGGGUUUAGAAACCUGACAGGAAAAUUUUCUUCCCUCAGUCAUGUUGAAAGCUCAAUUGGCUACACCCUCUCACCUUGUUUAGAUAGAGACUCCACUGAUGGAGAAAUAGGGCUAAUGUUUAUGUGGUACAUCCCAUGCUUUCGGUUGGGCAAUAAAAAACCCACUCAAAUUAUUGGAUCCGAAAAAAGAUAUUCCUAAAAGAUGUUAGGUUCAUUAUAUAUCUUACUUGAUCGCGUGCAAUAAUGGUGGGGAAGGACUAAAUUUCAGGAGUUUUCCCCGUCCCUAUUUUGGGAUCAAAAACAUGUUUAGUCAAGACAGACUCGAUCAAAAGUCUACUCCAUCGAUCAGUGUCCAAAUCUAUUACGUGCUGCUAGAAGGUUAGCUGUUAUAUUACUAGAAAGGGGUAAUUUACCUCUUUUCCUUUUCUCACACAAACCAAAUAGAAACCUAGUCGACCUAAUCCAUUCUUCAUCUCCCAAGUGUUCCAAUACAUAUAUAGCUAGCUGAAAAGGAAAGGAAAUUAUAUAAACAAAUAGAACAACCUAGAGUUCUUAUAACUCAUCGAAAAAAAAAAAACCUAGAGUUGUUAUAUUGCCAUCCAAAUCCAGGUUACGUAUACAUCAGCCACUAUUUGUGUAGUCAGUUAUUAGUGAAUGACACAAGAAGAGUAGUGCAUCCUACACAUAUGUAUGAUCGAUAUUAUAUAUAGUCACUUUCGAGACAGAUGUAUAUGUGACAAUUCACAUCGAUCAUCAUUCCGUAAAUAUAUAUAUGAACAAAGUAUCCAGGCAAGCUAGCUCGUCCUUUAUAUAUGUUUAAUUGCUCUUUUGGAUAAACCUAGUGUUCGAACAUACUCAUUACACUGUGCAUGUCAUCUUCAACAUGGUGGCAUCUAGCAAGUGCAGCUCGAUCGCAUCAGUAACUAAUUACUUUGUUGAGGCGUCUCAACAACCAUUCCAUUCCCCAGCCAGCGAUCUGUUUUUCACACUACUCUCUAAGUCUAGCUUCUCAAAUCUCAAAGCCAACUAACUAACCUUCAAAGAUAGGUUUAUGCAUGCAGCUCGCCGCGAGAAUAACCUGAUCGAUGUUCUUAUAUCAAAGAAAACGAACAAGCCAGCUGACGAUAUAUUGUUCUUCGAUUUAAGCAGAAGCAUUUAUGUUUCUACAACAAAAUCCUUCAUUUCAAAGAUAUAUAUUUUUUGUUCAUGCCUAUUACCAUCCAAAUCCAGGGUACAUCAGCAACUAUAUACUUGUCCAGUAAUAUAUAGUGCAGGUUACAUGCAUGAUCAAUUCAUUCAGUAUUAUAUAUAGUCCCAUUGGAGAUCGACAGUUGUGUAUGUGUGACAGAUGAACUGACAUAUCAUCAUUUAAAAUAAUUAUAUACACAUCUAACAGUAUUAAGUAUAUAUGAACAAAAUAUGCUUUCUCUUUUGGAUCCAUCUAUCUAGUGCUAAUUAAGCAGCUAGCAUCAUGAAUUCAUGAUAUAAUAAACCAUAAGUAUAUUUGUUGAGCUAGAAGACUCUAGAUAGAUAUAUUGAUGCCUCAAGUCCUCAACAACCAUUCCACCUGUUCUACUAUCAAAGACUAGAACAAGUGACAACCCUCUUUCUACCUUCCCAUGCCAACAACCAUUAAAAAAAAAAAACAAUUUUUGUGCAUCACUGAUGACAUUUCUAUCAAAGAAAAGGAACACCCAAUACAAUAUAUUAUAUUUUGAUAUAAACAUAUGGGCGUUUAUGUUUAUUGAAACAAGAUCGUUAAAGAGUUUCGUUUAGAGAGUUAUGCCACUAAACCGAUCAGUUUGAAUCUUCUCAUUUUAUUUUUAUUUUGUUGCAAUCUUGAUUGAUCGAGAAGGCGCGGACGACCGACGAAGUUCCUACGUAAUUCUAUACGUUUCCACUUAAGGCACUAACAUCAAAUUUCAGGUUUAAUUAAUCGGUCCAGACAUCUUAAUUAAAACUUCAAAACACUAAACGUUGCCACGUCCAUAUACUCCACUGAUCAGUCCCUCUCAAAUAUCAAUUAUUGCUCUACCCCAAAAGAGCCACAAUAUUAAUUUAUCCAUUUCCUUUUUUUGGAUAAAUUUCCUCCUUAAAUUUCCCCAUCCUACGCGGUGAAUAGUCUUCCCCCCAUUUUUUACUUUUCCCCCAAAAGGGUAAAAAAGACAGCAAAACCCACACCACUUUGUACUCUUCCCAAAACAAGUCCAUGUACAACACAAACAAACAGACCACCCCGUUCGCCCCCUUUGCGUCGAAGUUUCGUUUCGCACAUGCUCUACGCUCCGGCGAGGGGCAUAACACGCAAUCUAAAAACCCAGGGCAGUUUCGACUUUUCAGUAACGCCGUUUAUAAAGAGCGCGUUUGCGGGUCUCCGAAUAUCGAAGUAAAACCGAAGACUCUUACUUUUACUACACUGUUUCAAAAGAAAAGAGAAAAAAAAACAGAGUUUGAGAGGGAGGUGGGAAAGCGCCAACUAACAAGUCACAGAGAGAAGAGAAGGACGAAGAAGAAGUAGGUAUGUAACUGUGAGACGACGCGGACGCUAAGCUAUUACGUGUUUGUUUGUAUUUGGGUUUCGGGCUUUUCGUCUCGGGUUUUCGGGUUUUUCUCUCAGCCGUACGUUUUUGCUUCAUUGGUUUUGGUUUGUAUAUAAAUAUAUCUGUUUUAAUUUUCUGUUACUUUGUUUUGGGAAUCUGUUGGGAUUCCUGUAGGGGUUUGGUUGCUGCAAAUUCUUGUUUGGAUCUGCGGCAGCUAAACCACAAGGUAAAAUUCAUAAUCUUGUUCUUACUUUGAUUCGGUUUUACGUUAAUGUCUAAUCAUUUCUUUUGUUUUUCUUAUUCAUUGAUUGGUUAUGAUUAUGAUUCCAAUUCCGUGCUUGUUGUAGAAUUCUGUUUUUGAUCAUGAUUAGGAUUUGAUUUUAGUUUUUAAAUUUGCAGAAUUCUGAAAUAGGGAGAAAUUGGUCGGGGAGUCCAAUUUUGAUUAUAAGUGAGUAAAUUUGGGAGAUUUUUUUUUUUAGUCGAAUUGAGCUGGUGGUGAUCGAAUGAGUGAAAAUUUGUGAAUUGGGAAAUAGAUUUGGUGAGGAAUUUAAGAUGGAGAGCAUUUUGACAAUGGUGGAGAUGGGGAGUCAAGUAGGAAGCCAGUCGUUACUCAGUACAAUCAAGAUUGCAGUAUUGCCAAUAGCAAAGGUUUUUACGGUUUGUUCUUUGGGUCUUCUUAUGGCUUCCAAGUAUGUUAACAUCUUGCCGGCUAAUGGGAGGAAGCUCUUGAAUGGGGUAAGGGCAAAAUUCGACUACUCCUUUGUGUUUGGAAUUGCGUUAUGGUGUUGUGUUGUGCUGGAUAUUGAGUUAAUUGCUUGCCUUUUUGUUUCUUGCAGCUGGUUUUCUCGCUUUUGCUUCCGUGCUUGAUAUUCUCCCAGCUCGGACAAGCUAUCACCUGGGAGAAAAUGCUCGAGUGGUAAGAGCUAUUCGGAUGUUUUUUUCGUGAUUUGAUAGGAAAAUCUUGAGAUUUGUAUUCUGAGUACCCUAUCCUUUUGCAGGUGGUUUAUUCCUGCGAAUGUAGUUCUUGGUAGUAUAUCAGGCUCAAUUAUAGGUUAUAUAACCGCAUCCAUUGUUCGUCCACCAUACCCAUACUUCAAGUUCACAAUUGUACAGAUUGGAAUAGGUAUGCUGUCUCACUCCCCUCCUGUAUAAGUUUCAAUAACAUGAAGCUCGUAUUGGUAUUUUCCUAAAGUGGUGGGAUGAUUUAGAAUUCAGAUAAUACGCUGAGUUUAAUUUUUGCAAUAUAAAUUAGUGGAUGCAUACAAACUGAAUGUACUGUGGACAAAUUAGAUCAUCAAGCUAGUUUCACAAGUAUUGAGAUUGGCCACUGUUGAUCUUAUGCAUUUAGAUGAUACUGAGUAAGCUGUAUUAAUUGUGCUUGGGCUUAGUGCAAAGUAACUAAGCUUAUUUUCAAUAAUGUGCAGGAAACAUUGGGAAUGUGCCACUUGUUCUGAUUGCCGCUCUAUGUAGAGACACAUCCAACCCUUUCGGUGACACAUGUAGUACAAAUGGGACUGCCUAUAUUUCGUUUGGCCAGUGGGUAGGUUUUUGCAUUUCACUCUUGAUCACCAGAGUUUGUAACUGGAAUCCAAGUUGCAGAUUAUGCAGUGAUGCAACAGUAAAUCAUUUUGCAAACUAUUUUAAUCAUUUAGGAUAAAGUACUAAACAUUUUGUAUCAUUGAUGUCUUGACGGUGCAUAUAUAGGUUGGUGCAAUCAUCCUUUACACUUACGUAUUUCAUAUGUUGGCCCCUCCUCCAGAGGGUACCUUUGACAUUGAUGAGGAAACUCUCCCAAUCAAGAGCCCUAGUGAUGGAGACACGACUGGACAAGUUCCUUUGCUUACACAUGACGAACAAGAAGAAGAGGAAGAGCAAAAACAUGAAGAAGUUGUAGAAACCAACACAAAUUCUUCAAAGAAAUCUAAGGUAAGAAUCACUUAAAUCAUAUACAUCUGAUUUGUUUGAUCCUAUUUGUCUUGUCUAUACAUCUUCUCUUCCUGAUGCAACUUGUAUCCUUCAACUUUCCCUAUUAAAAAAUGAAAAAUAAUAAUAAUAAUAAUAAUACUGUACUUUACCAUGUUAGCAAGUAAGUUGUUGGGAUAGCAAUAGUUUGAUAGAAAUGAUGGGUGGAUUACAGUUUUGUAGAACUUUUGAUCUGCUUUCAUUUCCAUUGUGAACAGUCAUGCACUUAAUUGUUGGGAUUUUCCAUAAUUCAAUGCUUUAUAUUGUCUGGUUGUGCUUGGUAUAUACUGUGCUAAUUACAUGGCAUUAAAUAUGAUGCAGAUUAUAGAGAUCUUGAUUUUUUUGUAUGAGAAGUUGAACCUCAAACAACUUCUUCAUCCCCCUAUAAUAGCUUCUGUAAGUUUGAUUCUUUUGUUAAAAUCAUUUGACAUCUGUUUGUAUCAUUGAUUUUAUGAGGCAAAUACUUCAAAGCGGACCUUCAAAAUUAAUGUAAUCGAAUUUGGUGCAGGUCCUAGCCAUGUUCCUUGGCGCAAUACCAUUCUUAAAAAAACAGAUCUUUGAAUCUGGCGGUCCACUUUUCUUCUUCACUGACAGCUGCACUAUCCUUGGGUAAGCUCAAUUGAAUCUUAUACUACAGUAGAUGAUAAAUAUAGUGUUUGUCUUCACUAGGAAUGCUGCUGAUUCCUCAGAUUAAAAUAAAGAAUGCUAGUCUUAACAUAUGCUCAUAAAGGUGUUCCAACUUAGAGGUUUGAUUGUAAUUUUGGUUGCUAUAAGUGAAAUUAUAAAAUGCCGUAGUACUGAUAUAGUGAAAACAUGGAAAUUUGACAAUCACAAUCUUGUAACAUCUCUCUGUGGAUCAAUAGAUUUGUAAUUAAAAAUUAGUUCCGUGGUUUUCCUCUCUGGGAUUUUGGUCUUCACAGUGGCAGGAUUGGAAUAUAUGGAAUUAAAUGCAUCCUUAACUGGCAUUGCUUUGCUACUAUUCUGUGGUUAAUAAAGCCUCAACAUUCAGGGGAGACAUGGAAAUGAGGAUUGUCUUGAUAUCUGUCAUCUGGUUGGGUUGGGGUUUAUUUGUAUGUUGUGCUGGACAAAGCAUGUACAAUUUUAUGUUCCAAAGUAGCUGAAUAUGUAUCUAUUAGCACUUUUAGUUCCCUGUUAAGUUCAUUUUCAAUCUCUGCGGUAUUCUGAUAUAAUCUCACAAAUUUGGUGACACCAGGGAUGCCAUGAUUCCAUGCAUUCUUUUGGCAUUAGGCGGCAACCUUAUCAAUGGUGAGUUGACAUCCCUCCAUCUUGUUUCUUGUAAUUUGUUUGGGUUUGAUUGUGCAUGGAAAAAUCAGUUAUUGGUAGAGAAAGUUACUUUAUCUUUAAUAUUCAACCAGUGUUCAAUGGUCUGAGUUUAGAUGAUAUCAUUAUAACAUGUCUGUUCUUUGCAGGCCCAGGGAGUUCCAAACUUGGUUUUCGAACAACAGCCGCUAUUAUUUUUGCACGGUUGGUCUUGGUCCCCCCGGCAGGACUUGGGAUUGUAACGUUGGCCGAUAAGCUUGGUUUCCUUCCUGAUGGUGAUAAGAUGUUUCGUUUUGUCCUACUGCUCCAGCACACAAUGCCAACAUCUGUUCUUGCUGGUACUUGAUCUAAACUUACAGAGCUAAAAAGUUACACGACUCACGAUUCUAUAUCUUUUACUCACGAAUCAUCCCUUUAUUUGUAGGUGCUGUUGCAAAUUUAAGAGGCUGUGGAAGGGAGGCCGCCGCUGUCUUGUUCUGGGUUCAUAUAUUUGCGGUGUUUUCCAUGGCUGGGUGGAUUGUUCUUUACCUCAACAUACUAUUUUAAAAACAUCUGAAAUCGAAAGUGGUUGCUGGCGCCACACUUGCUCAUCUCUCUCUGCCUUCUGCUAUUGAUUUUUUGGCCUAUCAAUGUUAAUAGCUAAUAGUACAAGUUAAGCUUGGAAAUUCAUUCAUGUAUUGGAAAAGAGGUGUCAAGCUGUUUCACCGUGAACUGAGAGGCGCACCGGUGAAUGGUGUUGCAGGCAGCUGCCUUUGCAUCCAAGAAUAUAUAGGUCUGUAGAAGGUCAGUUGUCUUCUUCAUUAGGAGGUGCCUGUAAAUGUUUACCAUCUCCAAGGAUUAACAGGGUACGACUGUUAGCUAUAUUACUCCCUACACCUAGUUGUAAAGUGGAAGCAAUUAUUUAUUAUCUUAAUAGGAGGUCUCCUGCCCCUUCUUCCUCUUAUCGUUUUUGCAUCUUGCUUGUCCCGUUUCCCUUCAUUUUCGAACUAAUAUAGAAGCAGAAGCGGUUUUGUUCUCAUGUAAUUUCACAAUCAUGAAAGUAGGAUUGAUUGUGAAGUUCACUUCUGGUGUCUCUUACAUCAAUAUUUACGUGUUAGGUGGAUUGACCUCAGUCUUGAGGUUUUGGAUUGAAUCUCCCUUUCCAAUGUUGCUGAUUAGUAAAAGAAACAAAAUACUUGUUAGGAGCUCAGACCAACACAAUUUUUCUUUUUCUUUUUUCUUUUGAGAAGGCAGCAUGGGAACAAACUAAGAAAUAUCAAACUUUUAGAAAACCAAAAGCAUAUUGGGAAAUUGUAAAAGAAACAAUUUUGUUUGAGAUUUAGACAUUAUGAAAUUAGGUAUUACCAGAUGGUGAGAUUGUGAGACCAAAACAUAGGUUGCCCAUAUGAAGCAGUCAUACUGUGGAGAAAAAAAAAUGCUCAAAAACUAUCACAAGUCAUGAUGGUUUCUAUCAUGUUGCAUCUAAGCCCUCUGCAAGGACGUUGCUAACAGUAUCUUGGCCACUAAAAGUAUCAUAGCCAAGUGAUUUCCUAUCUACUUCAUCACUAACAGCAGAACCAAUCAACAAGGCAUGAGUCUUGGCAUCUGGCACCCAGCCAUUUUCCAACAUUAUAUCCAAAAACCGACUGGCGUUCAUGUUUAUAACCCUCGUUGCAGAGGCCAUGAAUUAGGAUGUUGUAGGCUGUUGAAUUUAGAACUUCACUAUUGGUAAUAAGUUUAUGGAUUGAUGCUAAAAAUGCUUGUAACCGAGAAUGCUUGUCUAUACAAGUUUUCUUUCUUUGGUAUGCAGUAAAGGUUUCUGUAUAUAUAUAUAUAUAUAGGGAUAAAGUUGGUAUAAUUAGGAAAAAUCUUAAGCGGGAAAUUAUAUAACUAUAUAUGUGAUGUGUCAAAAUCUUUUAUGAAUUUCAAGUGAUAUAUGUGUAACUGACUAUAUGUGUUAUAUUUUUUCACAUAAUGUGGGCGGAGUUGGUUCUCUAGACUGUUGCUGGUAACUAGUUACUGAGGUUAAUUAGUUCUCCCACUAUGUGAUCCCUUCAGUACAUAUAGGUUUGUGGUUUGUCUUCACUAUCUUCACAGUUUGCAGGAACUCUGCAAUGUUUUCAACUGAGACUUGACCGGUCAAUAUACUCUGCUUGUAUUCCAUCUACUCCAGGUACUUCUGCAGCAGAGAUAUCUUCACAAGUUGAGCAUGAUUUGACUGAGAUAUAUGAAAUAUUUUUGAGGAAUUUUCAUAUACACCCAAUUUUAAAGAGUGGUUUUAAAUAAAACCCACCUAAUAUUCCUAUUUAAUAGACAUCUAAAAUGUAUAAAUUAUGAUAAAAAUUAUGUCAUAUUUUUUCUAAAUUUUACACAAUUGCCACCAUUCAACUAUAACAUAUUAAUAUAAUAAAUAAGCUUAAUUGAUGCUGUCUUAAAUACCUUGAUUAUGAGUUUUUCUUCUAACACUAACAUUUUUCCAUCAAUUUGCAAGAAUCAUGUAGUUUUCUUUAUUUUUAUGAAAAAAUCUAGAUUAAAGGAACUCAUUCUCUAAUCUAUACAUAUUCUCUAAUCUAUACAUAAGGUAAAAUAUAAUAUGAAUAAGAUAUCUGAUCUAAACCCUAAACUCUAAACCCUAUACCCUAAACCCUAGACCCUAUACCCUGAACCUAUACCCUAACUCUAUAACCUAAACCAUAUACCUUAACCCUAUACCCUAAACCCAAUUUUGGGUUUCUCUUUUUAGGUAUAUUAUCAUAUCAUGCCAUACUUAAUAGAUACAUUAGAAACAUAAGUAGUAGAGUGUAAAAUGUUCUCUCGAUUAGGAUGAGAAAUGAUAUAAUAAUGUACCUAAAAAGAAGAAAAGUUAAUCAAAGAACAAGAACGUGUACCUUACAAUUAGCUAUUUUUCGACUAUGUAGAAAGACACCAAAUGUGAGCUUAGGAAUGAAAAGUAUAAUCCUAUUACAAAUAACAUACUUCUGUAUAUAGCAUAUAUAUAUAUAUACACUCAAGUUUGUAAUAACAAGGUAAGAAAUUAAAGAAUGUAAUUGAUUAUGACAAAGUUAACUCCAACUAAAUUUUAGCUAGUAUUUGAGUUUCAAAUUGAUGCUAAAAUUGAGAAAUAUACUAAAUUUAGCUUUCUACUGUCUAAAGGGCAAAUUAGAGAAACUGAAAAAUGAAGAAAACUAUUAAUUAUAGAAAUUUGCUUUAUAUGGUAUGUUUGCUUAUGUGGAGUGGGUGUAAAAUAAAAGAAAAAUAUGUAUGGGUUUAUCUUAAAAGAGGUUUAGUAUUUUGGGUUUUUAUCUAAUUUUCUCAAUAUUUUUUGAAAUUCAAACCCUUCAUUCUAACCGUCAAGAGGGUUUCAGACCAAAAAAAACAAGAACCGUCAAGAGGCUUUGGCCUCCCUAUAUAAGUUAGCUUCUGGCUGCCUUUUCUCCCAUCCAAAUUCCAAAGCCUAAGUAACAGCAAACUUUAGUUUUCCAUGCCAAAGCACCAGUUAACUUGUCAUCCUAGCUUAAUACUCUAUGUGCAUAGAGCUUGAUCUUAAGCUCCCUCAUAUGAGUAUGGAGUGUUGAGCUAUGAUGCAAGUUACCUAGUGCUAAUAUGGCAUGUUACUCGGCUCAGAAUAUCAUUAGGAAUUCUAGCUAGCUAGUAAAUCAAACUUCCAUUUCUUACAAUUCAUGCUACUGCACCUGCUAACUUGUAAUCCUAACUUAAUACUCCAUUUGGAUCAACUCUCAGUUGAUUACGAUUAAUAUGGAGUAAUAAGUUAGGAUUCUAGUUACCUGGUGCUCAUAACAGCAUGUAUCUCUGGGCAAGUUCAAGAGCCAAGAGAAUGUUUAAUUUGCUUUACUUUUGUGUUAGAACUAGUGGCCUUUUCUGAUUUUCAGAGAUCAAAUCAAAUUUUGUUUGGUCAAUUGGUCUCUAAAUAUCAGACUGUGGCCUCAAUUCUACAGUUUACACAUCAAGCACGUCAUAUGUCUGCAAUUGAAUUUGGGAAAACCCAUAACUUCUGAUUUUUUUUCCCCUUGGGAUAUGCCUGCAAGUCAUAAGCCAACGCGAAAGGAAAUGACCAUCUAAUGUUGGUAGAAGUAGUUCUUUUUCUACUGUCUAAGUUGAGUUUUACUUCAUUUGAAUAUGAACUAUGUGAUGGGAUUCAUACUAUGAGCAUAUCAGUUGCUAGUUUUCUACACAACAGAGGACCUGCAAUGCAUUGGUUUCAUUUCAAACUCUUUUUUUUUUUUAUUAUAUAUUUUGAAUGAAAUUGGACAGUGUCACAGAAUUGCAUGAUCACACUCUUGACUCUUCACCACUCAAUUAUCAGCCUAAUAAUUGAUGUGUUAAAAGUGAUUGAUGGACUUUUAAGGGAAGAAAUACUCUGUUCCAUGUAACACCUGCAGUUCUACUGAGGAAAAGGCAUGCCCGGACCUAAGAUUUUGAGGCCUGAGUCGAAAUUUUAAAACUGAACCCUUAAAUUAUAGUUUAAUUCUAAAUUUGUUAAUUAUAUAUAUAAAGACAUUUCAAAAACUGAAACUAUGAACUCAAAAUCUAAUUAUAGAACAUCAUAUCCAAAAUGUUCUGAUGAUUAUAUUUUAGAAAUUCUAUUUAUAUUAUGAAACCUAUUUUAAGCUCUCACCUUUUCUUUUUCCUUUUUUACAAAAAAAAAAACUUACCUUAUUUUGUUUUGGGUACAAUUUUGAGUAGAAAUUAAAUUAAAUGUUAACACUAAUUACGACAAGAACAUGUUUGAUCCCCUUGUUUUGGCCCCUUAAUUACAGUCAGUACUAUUAUCUUUCUUUAAUUGUGUUUAGAAGUGGAGCUGUGACAUUAAUUGUCACUUUUAUUAAUUAUUUAACUAUAUUUGAUCAUAAAAUGAGUUUUAUUUAUUCUUUUUCUUAUGGGCCCUUAAGAUCUUUGGGUCCUGAGUCGAUGGGCUCCUAUGACUCCUAUCAAGUCCGGGCCUGGGAAAAGGUUCAAUUUUGUGAAGUUGAGAUGACAUAGUAUAGUGACUAUAGUCAAGAAGAUAAUCAAAUCACAGUUUAAAACUAAGAUCACAUAGGAAAAUGGCUUUGGGCAGCACCAAAUUUGCAGAAGGAUUUCAGGUAAGUUUAGACUAGAGAUUUGUAAUUGGUUCAUACUAGCUAAUUUUCUUUUCUUAAUCCUCUCUUGUAAUACACAUUAUCCAAACACCUCUGUAAGGAUGGUCAGCUUAGUGGAUCACUAGACAUAUGGAAGCUGAGAUCUAGCAUAUGAAAGUAACAUGAGCUCUAGGUAUAUAAGCCAAGAGAGACUGAAUAAACUAAUUACGGAUUUUUUUUUUUCUUUUGAGAAAUGAAUAAUUCGUUGAGAAAUUUUAUUAACACAUCCUUAAUUACUAGAUACACAUUUCAUACUUAAUACAUCACCUAUUAACUUUUUUGUUUUAACAUUUUACUAGAUACACAUACUCAAACUUCUUACAAUACCCUCAUUUAACAUACACAAUUUAUUCGCUAAAUACACAACCCAUUCACUACACAUUUUUUCUAGGAGUUCUCUUUUUCUAGAUAUGCUACUCAAUUUAUUCAAAAAUAAAAAAUAAAAAAUCAUAUUUUUGAGAUUUUUCUCAAAAUGUUUCAUAUUUCCUCAUACUGUUUCACCUCAUUGACAUAUUCCUCGAAAGUUUUUAUUUUUUCUCUAAAGACUUUCACCUUGUUAAGAUCUUUCUUGAGGGAUUUUCCUUUGUUAACAUCUUAUCUCAUCAGUUUUUCUUGACAAAUUUUCUUCUCAAGAAGUCUCUUACUCAAAUUGAUUUCAAGAUUUCUUGAGCCUAUCGAAUCAAAACAAAACAAGACAAUACAUCACCAAAGUCUUUAACGGAACUUUCAGCAUUAGAAUGUUCAAUCCUGUGUAAAACUAAAGUAACUGAUUCUUAAGAACCAUUGCAUAAUAUUCAUAUGCGGUAUCAAAAUAUAGGUACUCGAUUAAAACUAAAAAUUAAAAAGUGUUUGAAGUACAAUAGUUAAUACGAACGUCUUAAACGAGAUAUUUUAUUUCAACUAAGUUUUUUUAUUUUUGAUAUGAAUGUCUUUUUUGGUAAUUUUACGUACCCACAAAGUCUUAUAUAAUUUAUAUAAAAAAAACAAUGUGUAUCUAGCAUUUAGGGAUGUGUUAAUAAAAUUUCUCUAAUUCGUUAAUCAAGAGAUAAAACUAAUUACACAGCCUGCAACUGCAAAACCGGUAAGAUAGUAAUAACAAAAAGCAUGGAUGUGCAAUUCGAUCAAACUAAAAAGAGCAAAAGGAAAGUAAUAACUCGCUCGUCUAUGGACCGAAAACCCGACAUUCAAAUAUAAAAAUGCAGCAAUACAAACACAUUAAUGUAUCCCAUCCACCACACAACUGGCCAACUAUUCAUAAAUGCUUAAAUGAGGGAACCAUUAAUUUGGUUGCCGGGUUUCUUCUAGAUGAACGACCACGUUUUUCUUCUUUUAGAUAUUGUAUUGGUGUAGAAAACAAACUUUUCCUGUAAAAAUAUAGAGAAUCAUGUAGAACGCUGUGCAUCACAAAACAAAACUUACGUAAAUAUUUCAGAGGUGAACCCUAACUAAGUCAUUGUGUUUCUGGCAUGAAAAAGACUGGAGAGUUGUUAAACACCAAGGCACUGCAAGCAUUUAAGGUUGAAGCUUCGUCGAGCACAAAAGCUUACAAGUUUUCUGGUCCAACUUUAUCCGUGAACCAGACAAACGAUGCAUCUUUCGGAGAAUUUUGCCGUGAUACAGUAUCAACAAUUUGGCAUUACCACGGCGGAUGCCUCGUCGGAAAGGUGGUCGAUAGCAGCCUGCGGGUCAUGGGAAUCGAUACGUUACGUGUUGUUGACGCAUCCACAUUCAAUUUCACACCGGGGACCAAUCGUCAGGCCACCCUUAUGAUGCUGGGCAGGUACGUACUUGUGUUUCCUUCACAUAACCAACUGGUUUAAUUCUGAGCUUAUUUGCAAUUUAUACAAACAGCUGAUAUAGCUCUACAUUAUUUCCCUUCGAUCAAAUUUUCAGGUACAUUGGUAUUAAGAUGUUGCAACAAAGAUCUUCAUAAGCGAUGCAGUAUGCAAAAAAAACCAAGCAUACUAACUACUACAUGUAUAAAUCCUUGAAUAACUCUUUCGCAACUUAAAUAAAUGGAACUAAUGUGUUCUGAAUUCUCCAGUUGCGAAAGGCUGCUAGUGUGUGUUAUCUUAUACUAGCCUUCAUGCCCGCGAGAAGGAAUUCCGUCAAAUUUUAUGGGAUUCAAAGACUUAUGUUUAAAAUCAGAAAUCACACAACCAACUUUUGGCAGCAGAGCUUAGGUCCUUAACCGAAACCAAGAAACACAAAGGUUUAAGACAAGUUAAGUAGGUAAAGUGAGAUUACUGACAUUUAGAUAUGUCAACAGGGGAAUUCUCAAAUUAAAAGAGUAGCCUGGAUAGGAUUAGAUAAAACAAUGCUGACAAACUUUACUUUGAUUCAUCAAAGCAGAUUCAUUCACGGUAGCUAUAGCUGUAUUGAUGGCUGGGUGAUGAUAAGUGAACAAAUCUCCCCUCAAUGUUGCUUUCUCUUAAGGUGCUUUUCAUGGUCUUCAACAGAAGAUUGGGCAGAAGAAAAUGACCUGUAGUUGAAUGUAAAUAUCAGUAACCAAAACACUGAUCAAGAAACUCGAACAAAACUUAUGCAUUGGCUUACUGUACAAAUAUAUAAGAUUGUUAAGUAACAGCAGAACACCAAAUGGUUAGCUACAAACCGGAAUUCAAUAUUGUCUUGAGAAAGGUUGAAUGGGUAUAUGCUAUAACACGCAUCGUUACUUUCAACAAAGAAAAUAAUCAUGGUUUCAGAGGACAUUCAGGGACAAAUAUAUAAAAUUUUACAAAAUGAGGUCUCACAAACAGUGACAUUCAAGUUAUAGAUAAAUGUUUCACAAAAUAAAAUAAAAAAUUAUAGAGAUAUGUUAACAGUGAGAAGAUUACAAAUGGAAAAACAAAUAAUUCAGCGUUAGCAAUAUAGACGGGAAACAAUCACUUUUUAUAAUGGGUAUUAAAAUGAAAGCAUGUACAUAAUAAGUGGAUCUAAACUCUUGCACUCAACACAAAAACAAUUUUCUAUAAAUAGAAGUCAUGAACAUGAUAGAAAUACGAAGACAUAUAUGAACAGGAUAGUGAUUGUAUGUGGAUAUGAUCACUAUCAGGAAAUAUUAAAUAUAUACCAAUUCCUAUAACAUAUAUAUGAAAGCCAUAAAGAUGAGGUUAGAACCAACAUAUACCAAUUGAGCCAAAAACACAGAAAAUGGAGGUUUACCGAUUCCAGUGAGCAAAGUAGUGAAAAUGAAAUCAUUACCUGACCUUCAAAAUCGGAUUUGCAAAACUUUCAUGCUCAGGUACUGAAGAGUAAGCCUCACCUAAAAAACCAACAUGCAUCCACUGAUAACCAUGAAGCCCAGAAAGCAAGCAAUACCCAGAUGAGAAAUGGAUAGAAAUACGAAGAAUAUGAGAGAAACAGUACCUGCUUCUUCUUUUUCAGAGACUCUUCUAACUUUGAAAUUUUAUCGGUGCAAGCCUUUUCAUGCUCUGAUAUCAUAGUUCUUUCUCUCUUUCCUAUUACCAGCCCCUCACAACAUUAGAGUAAAUAUACUUCACUAUACAGUAUCUUCUCUAUAUAUUAAGCGAAGAGGGUUAAUAUAUAUUAGAGUAAAUAUACUUCACUAACAGUAUAAACAGUAAGCGAAGUUGUGUUUCUUACUCAGUUGCUCUUGCUCAUAUCGAGUGAAUAGCCUUUCCUUUUCUUGUUCAAAGUUUUAAAUGAUACCUGUCAAAUGAAAUGAACAGAAAACAUCCUCUUAACACAAUUGUAAUGAACCAUAUCCUUUUCAGAUAACAACACCGAUUUGCCUGAUGCCACCUACACAAUAUGAUACAACAGAAACACUUUAUGUGGAAAUAGAAUAACAAUGUUUGAUGGAAUUUGAUAAUUUGAUACUCUUAAUUCUUACUCACUAACAUAACUAUAUGAAUACAUAAACUACAAAUCACUAUCAAAUCGAACAUCACAAUCCACAAAAACAAUAGCAUUGCGAAUUUCACUUGUCAAUUAACACAUCAUGUUUUCCAUCCCAAGAAAUCCCGACCUGAAUUCAUAAAUUUAUAAAAACAAAGUCGAAUUGCAAUUUCGGAUUAAGGUGUAAAGCGUAGGGAGAAGGAGGUCUUACUUGUCCUCGAUGGCUAGGUAGUAGAGGCGGCACCGGGAGCCGACGACCUGGAUAGACUGCUGGGGAUCGUCGCGGCGUUGAGCUCGUUUGCGAGUGGCAUCCAUCAUGUGGACUUUCCUCUCCGACCUCCAAGCCUCAUGCCACAUCUUUUCAUCUUUCUUCUUCUCCGACUCGACCCUUUUUUUCACUGCCUUUGUGUGUGUGAUUAGGAAGAAGAAGCUCGUCAAUCAUCAACUAUCAAGACAACAUAAAAGGGCAAAGUUGAAAUAAAGACACUAAAUGAACCUAGCUACCAAGUACAGGCACCCAAUUUUGAUAUCUUUGAUUUUGCUGGAAUUGUAGCAUAUCUCUGUCCAUGAAUACCAACCUGACACCUUCAAGGCUGAAGCUUUGAGUGGAAAUUAAGUUUAAGCUUUGAGAUUAUAGUUUAAACAUCCCUCCUCAAUUCUUAUUCAUCAUUAAGCUUUGGUGUGUGCCACUUUAUAUAAUCUCCACCCUCUUAUUCUUUCACUACAUCUUUUCCACCCUUUGCUAUCUCCUUGUCUGUGGUCAAGACCCAAACUCGCUCUCAAUUUUGAAAGUCCUCUCCUUUCUACGAGCUGCUAGCUUUUGAGUAUCUACCAUUACUCAAGUUCUGCAGAAGAUCGCAGUACUUUCACUUAACACUUUGCAGCCUAACAACACCAAGGAAACAGUGAAAAACUAAGCCUACACGUAAACUUUUCUCCCCACCUAUAACUCAAACAUUCAUCGACCUGCAAAUACAAAGAUUUAAGAUGUGAAAAGGGAAAACACUUCAAAUAAAUCCUCUAAGAUCAUAACAAACAUACGAAAUUCAUACAAGGAAAUUGUAUUUGGUCCAUACUAUUUUUCUUUUAUUUUUACCCUUUAGUUUUAAUCUUCUCUUGUAACAAACACAAACCAAGUACAGAUUCUCAGCUGCUUAUAGACUUAUAGUGGUCCAUAUAUGUAUAGAGAGAAUCAUAUCAGGCUUCAGAACUUCUGAACCCUAGCUACCAAGUACAGGGCAUCCCAAUAUUGAUAACUUUGACUGGACAGUUUGAACUUCAAGGCUAAAAUUGCUGUAUAUCUCUGUCCAUAAAGUACCUAGCCCUUGCUGACACCUUCUUCACUGCUCAAGCCUUGACUCAAAGGUUUGAGCUUUGAGUUUAAAUUUCUAAAAUCCCUCCUCAUUUAUCAUCAAGCCUUGAGCUUUACAGCCAUUGCAAGAUCGAAUUCAUGAACACUUCGAUACUCUAUGGUAGAAACUUAUAUUGAAGUACCAAACUGAAGUGACUGUGAUUUUAGAGCUCCCUAUUAAUAAGCAGAAUGUAGAGUUUGAAGUUUGAACCUUCUUAUUUUGCCUAGUUUUUUGUUUUUUUGUUUUGUUUUUUUUAUCGAGAUAAUUGGUAAUGAAAAGAUAAAACAUGAACACAGGCCCUAGGGUAUGGCCUGAUCAUGACAAGAUCAACUAAGGUAGUUCCACAAAUGAUCCAUGAAACUCCAUUUACAAAACAGAAGAACCAAGUGACUUGAGUAUUACACAACAUAAUGUAAUAACAGUAAAAACAUAGGUGGUAGCCAUGGCACAUGCCAAAAAUCAAGGACUAAAUCCACCGAUAACAUCUGGGUGGGUUGAUUCCAUCCUAAUGAUCCUAUCCAAUGUGUUUUGCACCAAUUGGCUAGUUUUGCAGCAUUGUAGAGUCUGAUUAAUGUGUAGGGACCUCUGGUUCCUCUCAAAUUAUUGAUCUUUUUAGCUAGCCCUCUGUGUAUGGAUUCUCCUUUGUUUUCUGCAAAAUGCUGGUUCUCAAGUUAAGAACAAGUUUUGUGACUUUUACUUUAUACCAAAUGUUACAUUCACCACUAGCAAAAGACUAGUGCAGUACGAGUUGUAUAAUAUCUCUAAUUUUCGGAAUUCUGAUGAAAAAUGUCUUUCCCUCGAGUUCUUGAGACCUGAUGAAGAGUAAUAAUUGACAAUAAUCAUUCACCAACACACGAACCAGUUGUAACAACUUCAACCAACAAUCUCAAAAGGGAAAGAUAGCUACUAAAGUCAAUUAAUUGUAUCCACACACCCCAAUGACUUCUUCAGUUAUUAGGAGCUUUAUGUUCUAUGGGGUUAUAACAGCACUUGGCUUUUCCUAUAUAUAACAGGAGUUUCCAAAGCAGUUCCCUUGCUACGUUAUUGAGUGUUGACAAAUGACAAUGGGAUUUGAUCUUCUUUUACUUCUAAGUUAGAGAGGAAGUAUUGUUCUUUUGGUUGUGGGCAAAUUGGCGUUGAGGAACAGCGUUUCACCAUCAUUGGAUUCAGCUUCUACGGGGAUGGUGGAGUUCAGAACUAAAAAAGUUCAGUUGUGAGGACUGAAAUCGAGUUUAUUUCUUCCCAUCUAGUUGUUAUACUACCCCUGAAACUUUCCUGAAAGACUUUCUGAUAAGUUGUUUUCCAGAGGAAAUGCUAAAUGUGACCUGGAGGCUGGAGCAACGUGUAAGCUUCACAGAUUAGGUAUGAAUGGUAAGAAAUCAUCGAGAUGAUGACAUUUUUUUCAGUCAGUUUAAGGUCUAUAUUUUAGUACUGUAAUUGUGUGAUGAAACUCAUAAAUGAAAAUACAGUUGAGUGUUACCUCAGUGUGCCUUUAAGAAACUUGAAACAAUUCAAAUUUCAGCAGGUAAUAUAAACCUCAUAAUAUAUAGGAAAAUGAAACUCAAAUUUGGUGAUAAAUAUGUCUAGUGAUACAACUUAAUGGACCACAAUUGACAUAAUUGUGCCAUCAGAAACCGGGGAAUGUUGCCGAUGUCUAUGACACAACACAACUGUCACAGGGUCCAAUACACAAGUAGUCAGGAAGAACAACAGAACACCAAACUUAUUUACCAACACUUUGAGAACCCCUCAGAAAAGAGACCACCAUCUCCUGCUUCUGUUCUGCCUGUAGUGGGGUAAUUCACCAGCAACAUGACUGUGGCGUCGGGCCUGAUCAGCGAAGCUGCCCUGUGCUGCCAGACCUCUUCUUUCCAGUAGGGGAGUUCCCAACCACAGCACCAGAACUAUCCCCACAAGACUGACAAUUGGAGCAGCAGCAAGAAGAAACCAACUCCCCCGACUAUUUUCUCCACCAGAGGUAUUAGAGUCAGGUUGCCUGCCUACUUGGAACCUAUGUUCCACUCUAGUUCCAAACAUUAAUGCAGGAUCUUCAUCUUCUUCAUCCCUAUUAGAAGUACCAAUAGACCUAUCCUCUCUAGCAUUCUGCCGCCUGACGUGGAUCUCCACUCUACCACCAGCAUUCCGCUUCCCCUCUUCAUAAUCUCUGUCAUCAGUUGGUAGCUCAUAACGACAAAGGGGACAAGAAUUCCGUGUACUCAACCAUGGCAUAAUACAGGAAGGGUGAUACAAGUGAAAGCAAGGAAGCUGAUUCACUUCAGUGCCGAUAGUCAAUAGAUCUUUGCAAAUUGCACAAGCCAAGUCAUCAUGCUUCUCAUGUUCCUUACUAAUAAGAAUGAGAGGCAGAUUAUUCACAAAGGAGACAGCAGCAGGAGGUGCUCCUCGUCUCAAGCUGUCUGCCUCAGCAAGAUGCUCCAGCAAUUCUUCAAAGCCUACUGCAUCAAGAUAAUCACCAGAAUUUGUAACAUAAGGCAUCAUGUCUGACUCAUCAAAGUUAGAUAAGAUGUCACGGGUAUUCCUUUCCCUCAUUCCCCAAAUAAGUGGACCAUCAGUUCCAGUAACAUGUCUCCGAUUGACUGGGCGGUUUCUUCUUCCAGAACUCAAAUUCAAAGGGUUUCGUGGUCGACUAUUGGCUUCUGCAGAUUCAACCAUGUUUUCCACAGACUCGACUUCUUCCCAUUCAUCAUCUUCUUCAUCCUCCUCAUCGUCGUCAUCUUCUUCAGGGUCAUCUGAGUUCCAUGGGUUGAGACCAGCAUGCAUUGGAUCAAUGUCAGUAUCACUAUCAAAAGCACUUCCAUCAUCCGGUUGGAUAAAUGUCUCUGUAUCCAGGAAACCCUGCAGGUCUACAGAAGCAUCGGAAUCACCACCAUAAGCACUAAAAGAAAUUACAUCGCUCACAUCAUGAGACACCCUGUACCGCCCAAAACUGACAUUUGAUUCACUCUCCCCAUAUAGAGAAUCCGUGUUAUCAAAACCAUCACUUUCAGUAUCAGAGAGAACCCGCCUCCAUCUUCUAGACCCAAUUGGUGUAGUACGGGAACUUCUGCGGUGUGAUAUCCUGGCAGCAGAAUCACCAUCCACAGGUAGAUCCUCAAUCCCAGAACCAGGGAACUGAUUUUGCCGCACCUGAUUAAUCAUAUUUGGAAACAUCUGGAAGAAAGCUUCCUCAACCUCAGCUGACUCAGAACUACUGUACCUAGCCCUUCUUCUUCUAGACCCAAUUGGUGUAGUACGAGAACUUCUGCGGUGUGCUAUCCUGGCAGCAGAAUCACCAUCCACAGGUAGAUCCUCAAUCCCAGAGCCAGGGGACUGAUUUUGCCGCACCAGAUUUGGGAACAUCUGGAAGAAAGCUUCCUCAACCUCAACUGACUCAGAACUACGUUGCCUAGCCCUUCUUCUCCUAGACGGCCUCCUCCGAUAAGAAUCACGAGUGGGGGUACCAAGAUCUUCAAGGUACAAGAAUUUACAGUCCCCACACAUGUUAGCAGUCACAAGAUCUCCAAUUACCUCAUUCUCGGGCGAAAUAGCCCUUUGGCACAGAGCACAUGUUGCAAGUUCCACAGAAUGGUCAUCUACCACCCCACUAUCCAUCUGAAAAAACAAAAAAUGAAAAACACAACAUCAAAAAUAACGAUAUGAAAAACCCUACUCAUUAAGCAGACAAAGGACCUAGGCGAUGUCCAGAGAAACUCUAAACCUCAAUGAGUUUGCAUUUUACUCGAUCAAACUUAACUCCACCUGGUUCAACUUAACCCCAAAAUUCUUGAGUCUAACUGAUUAAACAAAACCUCACUAGUUGGAAUUACCAAUUCAACAAUUCCCAAUGCUAAAAACAGCUCAUGUUGAAAACCCAGAUUGAGCUAACAUUCUGCUAAGCCGAUACUAAUCUCAAAACACAAGCUAGUCAUGAAUAUCUAAGCAGAUCAAUACAUCACAAUCCAGCUUCUAUUUCCAAUACGAAAGUCACUUCCUUUCCUAUCAAAAACUAUACAUCCAUGUCUGAAACCCCAUUUUUGCACACCCAAAUCACAAUGGCACCACUAGAAACCAAUACCAACCACAAAUUCAUAACACAACAAUUCAAACACAAUCAAAUUGUAACAAGAACAUACCCAAGAAACAAUCUUUACCAACAGAAACUGCAAAUCAAAAAUUAUGGGUAGCAGUAAAUUACCUUAGGAAGAAUUCGAAAGCCCAAAAGCUCGGAUCUUUAAAGCCCAGAAGCUCCGAUCAUGCGGGUCUCAAGUUUCAGAUAAAGCUGCGAUCUUUCAGAAAUGAGUUACAGGUAAAAAAUACAGAGGGACAAGACCUCUUCAACUUCACUGAGUCAGUCGUCGGAGAAAAGAUUGAAGUUAGAGAGAGACGUUUGUGUCUCCCCUACUCGAUUUGAAUUGUGUUGUUUCCUAACGCGCGUGUCGGAUCCAAUCAUUUAUUGCUGAGUUUCAAAUAGUGUGAUUAACCUAACUCCACGCGCGUGGUGGCGCGUCGAGGGGUACCUGCACCGUAUGAGCCAACGGUUUAUACUUUGGUGGUCCUCUGUUUUGUCGCCAACAGCGUUACGUAGUCUUGUGGGUUUAGUUGUUUAGGUUAAGCUAAGCAUCAUCUAUAGUUACAAAGAUUAGGCUUGGGCGCCUAUCAUUUCCUAACAUUUUCUAUUUAGGAAAUGAUGGGUGCUAAGAGAAAAUGUUAGGUUUUAGAUGGAAGAAAUAGAGAAAGAUCUUUGUUCCCAUGUAUUCUUGUCUCUAGACCUAAUUUUCUGAUGGGUGAUUUUUCGGUAUCUGGUGCGGUAGUGUGUUUUAAACGAGUUUACUUUAGAGUUCGAAUGCUCGAAGGCUUUAGAUUUUACACUGAAAUUAUGUUUUGAGGGAUUUUUGUAAUAAUUGUGUAAUAAAUGGAGAGAUCGUAAUAAAUGAAGAGAUCAUAACGUAAAACUAAUCAUUUGGUAGAGUUGAGUUUCUUUCUCCCUUUUUUUUCUUCUGUUUUUGUUGUUCGAAUCUGUAUCUCGACAAUAAAUGAAAGAUAUAUGUUCGCCAAAGUUUUCGGAGAUUGCAAAUUCUAAGAAAAAUCAUAUCAUAUAAAUACAGUAUGAAGAGUUAAAAUCAUCAUACAACUGUGCAUACCAAGACAAAAUAUGUUACAAAGAUAAUAAACAACUAAAUAAGCAAUCGCGUAAGGACCUCAAUCCCAUUCUCCAGCCCUAAUUCUGAAUUAUAUAUAAUUUCAUCUGUCUUGUUUUUAGUCGACUUUUUUUCACUCAAAAUCACUCGAUCAGAAGUAAGAAUAGAUAUUGUUUAGUGGAAAAUUCCACACACCUAAAUUUAUAAAAAAUAAUAAUAAUAAUAAUAAUAAUAAACAAAACAAAAAAACCAAAUAUAUAAAAUAAAAUAAAAAAUCUUCACCCUCUCUAGUAAGACAAAGGUACAACACUACAAUGUAGCUCCUCCUGCAAACAAAGCCCUGAUCGUCCAUUUUAUGUGUGACCUCGUCGUUUUAUGCUGUAUACAGCGGAGUCUGCACUCAAUCGUACCUCUGCUAAGACCUGCAUCCCUAUUUGCUUUGACCAUAUUUUCACUCCUCACUGUAAAUCAAUGCGCUUCUCCCUAUCAUUCUGUGUCACAUUUAUUUACCUCAAACACAUAUAUUAACGUCUUCCCAGCUGGGUGAGAGCUUGAUAUGGAAUCAAAUAUGAAGCAAAUAGAAGAACAUAUAUGAGGGUUAACCAUUUUACCUCAUCUGUGAUACAUAUUCAUUUCUCUCACAAAAAGAAACCAUAACCCAUUUUCAUAGCUGUAGCUGAGCUCAAGUAACCUCCUUUGCCACCCAAAAGGCCAAAACUUUCAUCCACAGAAACAAAGAAUCACCCAUUUCUAUAAAGCCCUGCAACUCUUCUUCCCCAAAGGUUCAGUCUUUGUUUAGCUAGACACUCUGAAAAUGUCCAGGUGGGUCUUGUUCAUGUUUGUGAAAGUGUCUGCGUGAGUUUGGUAAAAAUUUCUCAACUUUAACAAUGUGGGUUUUUGGUGUUAACUGUGUUAUAGUAAAAGAAUUGGAAAGUCAAAAAUUUUGAGAGAAGGGUAUAGGAGGAGCCCCAGAUUGUCUGCUUUGGAAGAUUGUAAGGCUAGUGGUGGCACUAGACUUGGUGCAAAUACUAGCACACAGCAAAUGAAGAGCUACUUGGGCUGUGAUGAAGGACCAGCUUCUAUGACAACGGGUAGAAAGAAGAGAAGACUCUCUCCUUAUGAUGAAGCUGCCUGCCAUUCUCGUUCAGCCUCACCAAAAUUUGUAAUAGCACUCACUUAAACUACUUUGAAUUCGAUAAAGUUUACGACUUGGGGCUAACAUGUUGCUUAAACCCUUUAAGGGUUUUGUUUCCAUAUUAAGGUUUAUCAAUAUCCUGUUUGAUGUGUUAUGCAGGGUCCUGUGGAAGUUAGUCAGGAAGAAAACCAAACUAGUAGUGGUGAGCCUCAUUUUCUGCAUAAUGACUUUCUGUUAUGUUUUAAUGGCAAUGCUUUUGUAAUUUGCAGUCUUUGUGUUUUUCUUUUCGCUAUCAGAUUCCCUGGCAGUGUGGCGUAAAGAUAUUGGAAUACCUGCCUCAACUGGUUAGUCCUCAUUUUCUAAUUAAUUGCUGUUGUUUUUCAAAAGAAUUGAAUUUUAACUUGGUGAUUGUGUUAGAUCAACAAUCUUCUGCUCUAUCUGCACUGUGGUUGCCAGAAAAGCGCUUACUUGAGCUGGUUCUUGACAUACUACAAAGGUGGGGGUCUUCUUAUAUAGCAUUCAAGAAAUUGAGAUAACAAAAGCCAUAACUGUAGCACUCUUAUCAUUUGUAGUUAUAUAUAUGUAAGAUAAAUUUUAUGACACAUAUGCUUAUAUACAUGUUGUUGACAAAUUACAGGAGAGAUACCUAUGAAAUAUUUGCUGAGCCAGUUAACCCCAAUGAGGUGUAUAUCUCAUUGUUGUUUUAUCAUUUAAUAUUUCAAUGUUUUCUUUUCCUUUCUUGCCAUGGUGAUGAAGUUUUCUGCUCGUUCAUUAGGUUCCGGAUUAUUAUGAAUUAAUCGAAGAACCAAUGGAUUUUGGGACCAUGAGGGCUAAACUACAUGAAGGACAUUAUAAAAAUCUUCAGGAAUUUGAGGUUUGUUCCUUUCUCAAAAUGUAGUUGUAUUUUACAUGAUGUACAUCAUUCAAAAAAGAUAUAUAUGUCAUGUUUACCUGGUCUCAGAUACUUUUUUGUUCACUACAAAGGCUCUGCCUUUGAUUGUUUAGAAUGUUCAUAUUCAUAUGUUGUCGAACAUGACUUCUGACUUGUCAUCUGACAGUUGAUUAAUAUCUGUUUGCAGCAUGAUGCAUUUUUAGUAACAGAAAAUGCAAUGCAUUUCAAUCCCACAGCUACCAUUUAUUUUAGACAGGUACAUUAACAGUUUCUGGGAAGUUUGAUCUAAUUCUACUACUAUAAAAUCUAAUUUGCUCCAUCAAGUAUAAGUACUCUUGUUUUCUGCAGGCACGUUCCAUACAUGAAUUAGCUAAGAAUGUAUUUCACAUUCUGAAAACCUAUCCUGAGAAGCUGGAGUCAGACUUCUUAGAGGCUAGACAAGGAACUGGUAGGAGGGCUCAAGUUGAAGUUGGAAAGUCAGACUCAUGUCCUAAAGUUGCUACAAAUAUGAAACCCCUUGGCAUGAAGAUUGGGGGUUCAUCAAAAGCUACUGGACACUCGCUUAGUGGUUCAUCAAAUACCAGGAGAGGUCCAGCAAAAACUGGGUGCUCUGGUAUUGAUAAAGGAGAGCGGAAACUUCUUUAUGGUAAGAAAUAAAACCCACACUAUAUGUACUCCUAGUUUUGUAAGGAAAUUAAAUCUCUUUACACCAAGAUAGCCAAUUGUUUUCAUUAACUAUUCAAAAAUUAAGGCUACAGUAGGAUAUCUCUUGAUCUUGUUUGUUACAUUUCCAUAGGUACUAAAGAUGAUGGAAAAUCUAGGUCUUUUGAAGCAGAUCGACGCGCCACAUACCGACCUUGGAAAUCCUACCUCAGUGAGCAUGAGUCUAUUGGUUUGUCAUUAUUUAGUGAUCCAAAACAACUUCUGCAUGUAAGUCUUUGUUGCUUGUGCUAGUCUACCGAGAUUCCCUCAUAUGCAAUGUCUCAAGUGAAUUUUGACAGAAAGUCUUUCCCAAGAACCAGGUGGUACAUGAACUAUGGAUACCGUAAUGUGUUAAUCACAUGACUAUCUAUGGCCUUGGAUUAGGAAAAAUGCAGAUUUUCCAUAUUUUGUGCUGACCUUAUUUAAAUGAAUGAUCUGUUGAAUUCCCUUCUGUCCUCUCUGUGUGUAUGUGCAACACAGCAAGCUAGUUAUAUCCACUUUAAGUGAGUAAUUUAGGGAAGGUGUUUAACUAGUGUGGAUUGUCAUUUAAAUUUUAUCCAUUGAUGCCACAAAAUGUAUCACUAAAACACACAAUUUUGCUUUGUAGGUAAAUCACCAGGAUUUUUCGUACAGAGAAAGCUUGAUGUCGUUUGUCAAAGAUUUAGGACCAACAGCUAAGAUGAUUGCUAGAAAGAAGAUACUUGGCUGUCUCCAACAGCAAGAAAGUCACUUUCCUUUGGCAUCUACUUGUCCCCAGCCAGCACCUAGUACUACUGCUUUUUCUGCAGCACCCUCUCAUGGGGGGCAUCCUACGAUUAUGGAGACCGCUCACACUACAUUUCAUCUGCCAUCCAAUGGUGACCAAAGUAAUUCACAUGCUGAAUUUAAUCAAAAUCAUAGAAAAGAGAUUCAUCAGUUGGAUUCUUAUCCAUUGAAAGCUCACACUGGAGACCUCAGUUGCAUAGCUUCUGGUUUACAAAACACCAGCAACAAGUCAACAGCAAUGAUACUAAACCAAGGGAACCUGCCUAAUCAAGCAGAGUCUAUGGUAUCUCCUUCAGACUCUCAGUCUAAUGUGCUGAAAAAGCUGGAAAUUGCAAGUCUUAGUAAUAAGAGCUGCACAUAUAAAUUGACUCCAGCACCUAUGAGCCAAGAUGAUGAAACAAAAGCUGCUCAAGGCAAAAUUCAUGACAUCAGUAGUUUGUUUAACACACGCCAGAUGCCAAAACCAGACCAAUCCAAUCCACUGGCUCAGCAGUUCACAUUUGAUCUUCCAUAUUUGAGAGCUCAACUUGGUAAGAUAAGUUCUGGUGAGGGUCGGUUCUUGCAGAAUGGUUCAAGUGGUCAGCUGCAGUUUUCUGAUAAUAUAGUUGUCAAAGAGACUCGAUAUGUACCUGCCAUAUGGAACUAAGACAUCUGCCUAGCUCAUGUUUGUGAUUAUCAAUAGCACCAGUCAUUAGUGGUUAGUUCUCAUACUGUUUGAUCUCUUGAGCUGUAAGCAAAAGACUGAAGUUCUACCAGAAAGAAAUAGCAAACAUUCUCACUUAAAAGGUCCUUUUGUUUAGUCCUCUAAAUCGAUGUUUCAUUCAGACCAAAAAAAUAUCUAAUUGUUCAACUCAUCACUAACUGAUAUACAAUAAAGCAGAAAGUAUAAACGGAUAAACAGAUCAAAAAAGAAGCAUGUUGUACAUAUCAGUAGUUAUAGAUAAUUCUACAAUCCCCAAGCCUUUAUCUCUUGCUUUGGAUGCUAUGAUGGACUUUUUCUUUGGUAUGUAAAUAGUACAAUACCAUCUACAAUUAUACAUGCUCAUACAAAAGUGUUCUAAUAUACAUGCUCAUACAGAAGUUCACGUACUAUAUAGGAAGUGCUUGGCUCGCUCAAAGUAAGAGUUCAUUGCAAUCUUUCUUAUAACUUUGGCCCCGAAUCCCCACCAAAAAUAUAUGAAAGGAGAUUCAACCGCAUGAAUUUGACCUGUCAUACCAAUACGAUUACUUGUACCUAAAGCAAUCAAAUCAGCCAAGCUAGCCAAUGCAGAUUAAUUAUUGGAUUCUUAUGAAAAACACAAAAUGGUUCACACGUCAACAGCUCCGAAGUGUUCCCUUUACAAUUCAAUUACAUGGUCCACUUCCAACCUUUCAUUAUUCCUGAGUAGCUGUCACACCUAGAACAUGUUUAUGUGACUUGCUUUCAUUAUUUUGAAGAAAAAUGAAAAAAAAAAUCUGAAACACAUCUCAUAAUUAUCUGAAUCACUUCAUCCAUAAUAUGUUGAAAAAAGCACUUCCUUCUAUCAAGGAGUUUAGUUUACAUCUUAUACGUUCCUCGUUGAAGCUAAGAUUCUCGUAAAGUAAUCAUUUGUAUGUAUGCUCAAUGUUGUCAUUUUUGUUAGUUUUUUUUUAUCCACAAACAACUAAAAUACUACAACGGGUCUAACCUAAGUCGAACUCACGACCUCUCACUUACAAAAGAGAGACUGAUGUCACUAGACCAAAUGGUACUGGGUCAUUUUUGUUAGUUUUACACAUGAAUUUUUGUAUCUAGGAAACACAAAAAAAUUGUGAUUGAGGGUAGCAUGGAAAAACAAUCUCCUUUUGUGAUAUAAUUGUGGUGAUCAGGGACGGUUAUGGAAAUGAAAAGUGCAGGAGGAGAAGAGAAUGGAAUAAGGAACAGGUGGAAAUGGGGGUUUGGAAGUGAGUAUUAUAUAUAGGAAGGAAUGUUGAGCCCUAUAAUAUUUUUUCUGGUUUUGCAGCACUCGUUUCAUUUCUCUCUCUCUCCUUCAUAUUUCGGUUUCUCAUUUUGCUUCGUGAAGAAAAGGCGGAAGAGUUCGUUAAACACAAGCCUCACCAAACCAAAACAGAACAAGAACAAAAAGAACACACACCACCAACCAUAAACAGGGGCCGUUAAUUGGUUGCUUCCUUCUUCGUCUUCGUCGUCGUCGUUGUCAACCCGGUGACGGUGACGGAAAAGGGAUCUCAAUCUCAUAUUCACUCCAUCUCUGUUUUGUUUUUGAUCGGAAGGUGGCUGUAUUUUUCGGCUAAGAGAAAAUGGCGUACAGAAGAAGGCAGGGGAUGACAAGAGCCUCUACUUUCAAAGAAGAGAUUGUUCAUCGUCCACCUGACGAUAUGAAUCCAUCUGCUUCCCCUCUGCAACCUUCUCAUUCGUUUAAUGCUUCUUCUUCUCUCGCUGCUCAGGCCAUUCGUGCCUCUGCUCUAUCAAAUGAACGCAAUCGAACCAAGGUUUGAUUGGUUUUCGCAACUUGAUCAUUUUCAUCUUCGCAGAUCUUUCUGAUCUGAUUUUUGAUUCAUUGGAAAAUUACUUGACAAUUGAAAAUGAUAAUGCAGGACUUCGCGGCCUAUGAAGAUUCAUCAGCAAAAUCCGGGUUUUGGGGUGUUCUGGCUCGAAAAGCCAAGGCCAUUCUUGAAGAGGAGGAUGCUGAGUUUCAGCAAAGUGAUGUGUUUGGCGACAUCAUAGCAUCACCUAAAUUAUCGCCAUCACCGCUCUACACUACUUCCGGUGGCCCAACUCAGGUGAUCGAAACUCAAACUUUUUGUGUUACAUUACAUGCUUAAUGAAAUUGUGGCUCGAAUUGACAUACAAUGAUCUUGUUUAUGCAAUGUAGCGUACUAUGUUAGCAUAGUGAAAUUUGUUAUACUAAUUCUUGGUAAGUUUUUGUUAUUGGACAGUUUCAACAAAAAUACCAGUUAUCUGAUAACAGAAUGGAACAUCCUGCAAUCCGCAAGGGUUUGGAUAGAAUCACAACUUCCCUUAAUAAUCUUGGUGACACUUUCGAGAAGGCUUUUGAGGUAAAGCUAAUGCUAGAGUACGGAUGCAUGUCAAGUUCAGUGCUAUAGGGGAUAGCACUGUUACAUUUAUGGAGCAUUUGUAUGAUUUUUGUGUUGUGAAUUUGGCUUUUCAGGAGGGCCGAACAAUUGUGGAGAGUAAAACUGCCGACAUCAGACAUCAAAUUCAAAGAAGAGGAGACCAACCGGAGGGACAAAAUCAAGCUUCUUAUUAUGGCAUCAAACAAGCUAGGAGCCCUGAUACUCAAAUCAAGGCAUCUCGCGACGUAAGGUGGCAAUUAUGUAUUUGUGUGUGUGUGACUGGAUAAGACUAGAUUGAUCUUACUGAUGUUAUCAAAAUGUUAAUUAGUGAUACUGAUAUGAGUAUAGUUCCUUGCACUAAAUUUAACAAUACAAAGGGGUAAACCUUCUGCAGAAAAUUUGAUUUAUCUAUAGGAAACUAGCUGGACUUUAGAAUUGCAUUACAUAAGUUGAACUUCUUGUCAAGUUUGGAUGUGUGAUUAGAAAACUCUGUCUGUUUCACUAAAGCUAGUGAAAUGCAUAAGUGGUAUUUGUUUUAUGUCACAGGUUGCAAUGGCAACGGCUGCCAAAGCAAAGUUACUUCUUAGAGAGCUGAAAACUGUUAAAGCCGAUCUGGCUUUUGCCAAGGAAAGAUGUUCUCAACUAGAAGAAGAAAACAAGCGCCUUCGCGAGAGUCGCGAGAAGGGAGUAAACCGAGCAGAUGAUGACUUGGUAUGUAUAAUGUGUUAAGGAUCUUGUCUAAUUCAUUGUCUCUCGUAUAUAUUAUGCUUAAAACUUGCACAUGUAUAUGUCAUUAGCUCUGCAUCUUUAAAAGUGCAUUGUUUAUAUUUCAGAAAUGAGGAUUCCAUGAACUAAUUGUUCUAACAUGUAUACAUUUAUCUGAUCUUAUCAGAUUCGCCAUCAGUUGGAGACCCUUUUAGCUGAGAAGGGUCGAUUAGCCAAUGAGAACUCAGUAUAUGCACGAGAGAACCGUUUCCUGAGGGAAAUUGUAGAAUACCAUCAGCUCACAAUGCAAGAUGUUGUGUAUUUAUCUGACGAAGAAACAGAAGUUUACCCCCUAAGUAGCAGCCCUGAAGUUGCGCAAAUACUCUCGCUUUCUCCGCACUCAUCAGCACCACCAUCCCCACCACCAGAGGACCUUUCAUCUAUGAUCUCACCAGAUACCAAGGAAAUACUUGCUGCCCACAUUAACCCACAAGCGAAUAAAGAUGCUUCUCAAAAUGAGGUCACUCCAAGUUCAGAUAUCUCACCUUCUGUAGGAGAAGUUGCUAAAACACCUUCUGUAGGAGAAGUUGCUAAAACACCUUCUGUAGCAGAAGUUGUUAAAACUGCUUCUGUUGUAGAGGAAAGUAAAACAGAUUCUGUAGCAGAAGACACUAAAAGACCCCCUGCAUCUUCUGCCUAAAAAUUAGUGUAGCAUCUGAUUUUCUCUUUUUGUUGGUCCUUUUUUCUCUUGGAGAGAGGAAGAGGAGGACAGUGGAAGAGAGAUAGUAAUUCUUCCACUGCCUGCAGUACUAUUAAUCUGUGCAUGUAAUAGUUUGUUGGAGGUUUGGAUUUUCUCCAGUGUCCUGUCUUCCUUGUACAAACCAGUUUGCGGUUCUUUGUUCCAGGGUUUCAGAAUUCUUAUUUGAUUGUAGAGUGGUUCGAAAUAAUGUGACUGAUUCUUUUGGUACAAUGCAAAACUCUUGUUGUUCUAUAGCUAUCUUGGUGUAUGCUAAAAGGUAUGAUCAAAUAGGAUCUCAAAGUUUUUGGAAACACUUAUUUGCUCUCCAGUUUGUCAGCUUCUUAUGUGCUGAUACAGAAAUCUAUGACCAUUUCCUGUAUUAGUGUUUGGUAGAGAAACAAGUGAAUAUAUCUACAGCAAAUGACAAGGAUAUUAUAAACUGAGAUAUAACUCAUAUAACCAUUUGACUUGAACAUAUAUAAGUAGAAAAAAGAAGGGUGAAGAUUUCAUGCACUGCCUAUCACAAACAUAGGAGGGGACAUUUGCAGUUCUGGGAAAAUUCUUGUGCUGAUUUAACCAUUCCUUAUGUGUCUUGAGUCUCAAGUUUCAGCUCAACUCCAGUUCAAUUACCGUCCAGCAAUCACAGAGAUCCGGUGAAGGGCAAGUUACUGAUAAAGGAAACGACAACUUCAUCGGUAUAUUGCCAUAGACAUCUGAGAAUUCAGAAUCUUGGAAUGUUUCUCGAUUUAAUUAAGUACUGCAACUGAAAUGGAUGAUUUGUGAUACCAUGAUCCCUGAUCAGGUUACAGAAUUUUCCACUCUUGCCGUUUCUGUUUGGAGUGAAUAAGGGUUGUAAUUUCUUCUCUUUCAUAUUAACAUGUAGUGGGAUUUAGCAGGUAUGGAUUAUGAUUCAGAUAACUCUCAUAAAAGUUAUUAUCGUUAGAAAAGAACAACAGUGAAUAAAAAUGUGGAAUUUCUGAUUCGAAAUUAAUAUCACUAUUGUAAAGCAUGCAAGGAGUUAGACAGGAAGGAGAGACAGAUGAAAUGAUGAAUAUUCAAAGUUCGAACAAAAUAUUCUCACAUUGUCAUCUGCCCAUCUAUUUCACAUUUUCACACAAUUUUGCCUUCCUAUUCGACAUUUCUUCUGCCGGCGUACAUCAUCAAGCAGCAAGUCUAUUCAAUAUGAAGUAAGAAACAAAAGAAAGAAAUACUGGAAGAAGAAACACAACUCGUUUAGGCAGAAUCUCAAAGCUCUCAGAUCCUUCUUCAACAAUGGUCUCCAAAUUCGGACAUUGUGAAGGUUUAUGGUGGGAUAUCACAGCUAGCGGUGCAACCUCGCAACUCAAUUCCUUUGCCAUGACUAUAUUGAGGAUCAAAGAUAUGAAAUAUGCUCAAGGAAAGCUAGAGAGACCGAAAGAGAUUGUGUUUCUCUUGCAGACUAUGACCAAUGAAUACUUCUUCAAGGAACUGUUACAUAGAAAUGGGAUUGGAGAAAGGCUUGGGGAGCCAUCCUAUAUAUACAUUAAGUUGGGGAAUGUCCUGUAUUAGAGGUCCCAAAAAUAGGAUGUGGUAGCUAGUCUUGCUGUACAAAUUAGUGGUGGACAUGAGGCCAUACCAGAGAAACCUAUGUAGGAAUUCUUGAGAAAAGAAAGAUGGCAUAUUGAACAAUUGCCACCCGCAAGAGAAAAUAGAAAAUCUAGAAUCUAGAAUCUAGAGGGUUAAAUAGUAUGAUCUAAAAAGAAGGAUAACAAUAAUGGAAGGGGAGCCAGGCUAAAUUUCAUUGAAGGCAAACAUAUAGAUAUCAACGCAAAUGGUGAUUAAAGGAAUUUCUUGUUGCUUAAUUGGUGAAUUACAUACAUUUUUGACAUUUUCUCAAUACAACUUCUGUAUGAACAGUAGUCAGUUCAGUUAUACCUAACUACUCUCUUUCCAAGGGGUAAACAUGAACAAGGCACAGCAAAAAUACAAUCGAAUAUACCAGUGUAGUCACAAGGAUGAGGAGAUGCCUGCUUCGAACCAUAAUUUGAACUUCAAAUGCAGAAACACACCUCGUUUUUACAGUUGAACGACCUCAAAACAGCUGGAAGAACAAGCUCGUUGAUCCAUCGCCAAAUGAUCUAAGAUCUGCAGGUUUUACCAAAGCCCUGCACAACGGGCAGGUUCGUUCCCUCUCAAACCUGAAAAAAAUUGACUGGCGUCAGCAAACGAAAAGAAUGACAGAUCGAAUCCCAUCCCAGGCAAAUUGAGUAAACUUUAAAAAUUGCUCAAACCAUUGAGAAAUCUACAUACUUUGUUUGAUAAGUAUAUCUAUAGAUGUUAUCUUGAUAUCAAGAGGUUGCAGUCAAGAUAAUAGGUAGGGUAGGAAAAUAGUUUCAACGAAGAAACAAUGCUACAAAGGUCAUCGGUAGAAACAAUUACCAAAUGCAAUAUAAAAAGCAAGAUCUGGACAACAGUAAGUAUACUAACCAUUCUGAUACACAGUCCUCACAGAAGAUGUGCUUACAACGAAGCAAAAUAGGAGCAUGCAUUUUCUCCUGGCAAAUUGCACAUAGAUCGCCAGCUGCAACGACCUGCAGCACACCAACAAUAACUUAGAAUGCAUGAAACACCAGCUCUUCAAAUAUUCCAUUAACCAGGUUUACAGAUUUUUAAAUUUGCACUCAAUAAUCUAAAGAAUAUAUCAUUAAUUCCCAAACUAAUAAGAACAUCAUACAAACAGACCACUGGGGCAAUUACACUUGUGUGGCAGACUUUAAAGGGCGUUCCAGUUUACCUGCUCUGAUGUUGCAUACGCCCCAUAGUGAACCUCUUUACGUGACAAGACCUUCAAUGCAGCAAAGAAAGAUUGUACCUAUCCGCCAAUAAGUGAAGCAGAAAACAGUAAUGACACGUGAAAAACAACUACUUGGCAGAACUUAUUCUUCAUUAUAGUUUCACAAUAGAAUAUAGAAAUUAUAUUAAUGUAAAACUACCUUCUCAACAACAGAUGUAAGCUUGAAGGUCAAAUAUAACCCCGUCAUUAGUGACGAAAAGAGACUACCAUAUUCUUUGUUCAAGAAGAAACGAUACCAAACUGGUGUUGGUAACAAGGCCCGGUACAACAGAAGUAGAUACUCAACCAAAGUAAGCAUUUGACCCUGGAAAAAAAAGGCACACACUUCUCUGGUCAAUACAUAUGGAGCAAACAAAUUGCAAAAAAGGGGCGCCAAACUUAUGAACCUAGUUCAUUGCAGUUCUAGAAAUCAAAUGAAAGGCAAAAAGUAACUACAACAUUCAUUAGAAGUGCCUUUCAGCCUGUUCCUGUUGUUUCAUUUAGUCUUUUCCCAUAACAAAACAAGUUCUCCAAUUAGUUAUUGACUUAUUAGCUCACCUGCUUACGAUAGUUACGUCCUCUGCUGUUCUUGUAGUACAUUAAUAGAAUAAACUUGAUCACCAUUGCUGCCUGCCGGACCAAGGUAUCUGAAAAUAACCAACUGAGGUGACCAUUGCAUAACAGCGAAUUUAACUUACGACUUGCACACAGCAAGUACAAAGAGGAAAUCUAACAGUAAGGUUUAUUUCAAAGCUUUGUGACACAUACAAUCAGCGAAAUGCUCUGUAAAAAAUAUAUAUGUACUGAUUUGUUUCUAUCUCUGACCAUGAAGAAAAUCAUGUCUGCAUGCACAUAAAGCUAGAACACGUCAAAAAUCAUGCUGUACAAGAAAAUGGUAUCUAGAUGUGACAAGUGAAGCACCUUUCAAGGUGCGAUUUGAGCUUAUAUUAAAAGAAAACAUUGAAAAGUUAAGCUCUUAUUACCAUCUCAUUACUAGCCUAAUAGCAGUGCCACAUAAUGCAGCCUAUGCAGGUUAUAUGUAGAUAAGACCACUUCAGAAUAUAAUUUGGAAGUUCAAAAUCUGAAAAGUACAGCUACAAUGAAAACUUGGGAAAAGAAGAUUACCAUUAACCAUGAUGAUAAAAAUUGCAUGCCAGAAAGGUGGUAUAACUUUGGGAGGAAGCAUAACUAAAGGGUACAAAAGAUCAUCAUUCUGAUACCACCAGUAAACACCAAUCACAUGAACUGAAAAUGCAAUAGAGAUGCCGGCUAGAACAGAUAUUUUCCUCUCUCCCUGCACCAAUCAUAUCAUAUUCUUGAUAAAUAAAACAUCAUAGACACAACAAAAAACUUAUUACAUGUACAAAAAUAAAUAGAAUCAUUUCAAUAAUACCUUCAAAGCUGUCUGUUUCUUUAGGAUAUCAUUCGACUUAAACAUAACAGCAGCAAUCCAGAUAGUAACAAAGAAACCUGCAAGUUAUUACAGAAUAAAUAAAAUGGUUAUAUUAAUUUAAAAGAGGGGAUAAAGAUAGCCAGUAAAACUGGAUUCUAUAUAGUCAUAAUGAGAAUCAUUAUUCUAAAACUUCAAGCAGCCCUAUUAAACAUUUUAAUCACUAAGAUCAAAUUUUGAAAGAAAACUUGACUCCAGAGAAAUUCUUUGAUACAUGAGAAACUUGAUAAGGCUUCAACUGAUGAGGCAACAUGCAAAAGAGGACAAUCAAAUAGGUGUGAUUACAACCAGUGUUCAACAUACAACUGAGAUAAGGGCCAACUACUGUAGCUUCCUGGAAACUUAAAAAUGUCAGAAACAUGGAAUGGGCCCUUGGCAAUAGAUAGAUUACCACCGGGUGUCCACAAUGGACUACAGAAUAUGGUUAGGUGACACCAUAAAAAAGCACCUUUCACGGAACCACUUGUCACUUAUAAUUCUUCAUACACAUGUAUGUGUCUUAUAAUCAAGUGUUACUUGUCGCCACAGGUAUUUAAGUUAGUGGAGAAACGUACUCGCACUCUGACCCAUAUGACCAAACACAUUGUGAAUCUCAGAAGGAAUGUCAAGCCAAGAGUCAUCGAAUAGCGAUAUGCACGAUAGAGGUCCAACUAAAAGUGACCAUUAAUAUUCUUUUGCAAUAGGAAAAAACAUUGUUUAUUUCAGUAAACAUAAGCUUGAAGACUGACCUUGCAAAUGCUGGCGAAUGAAGACCACCAAUAAAAGCAAGGAAAAGGGCAGGACCUGCUCAAUCCACCUAGCUGCCUGCUGAAUAUCGUAUCUCUGAUAAGAAGAAUCCCUACCAUUAGCCCCAGCACCGUCACCAGCUUCUCCAUCAGCAACUCCAUUUACCGACUGGGAUAUGCCUUCUCCAGAACCAAUAUCCGUUCUACCAUCCACCUGACCUUCCUCCGAUACCAAACUAACAGACCCCACCCUCGCUAUGUGCUGCCCUGAAACAUCAUUCUGCAGAAGACCACUCUCCCUCAACUGCCCAACUACUAAACCCCCUCCCUCCCUAUCAUUCUCCUGCUCCCCUGCAUCAAUUAUCCUAAUCGAAACCUCCCCAUCAUUGCUGGCCUGCUCAGUCUGAGCAUGAUGCUGCUCCCUGAAUGCGGCCGCGCUGCGUCCCCCAAUCAGAGACUCGGCUUCCUGGUGACCGGACCGGCCGCGCAGAAGCCCCGAGUACUCCAGCAAGGCAGACAGUGGCGCCUGUAUAAAAUUCGAAGCCGAAAGCAUCCCAUAUCUCCUAGAGCUACUAUUGCCCGAAACCGGAGCUCUAUACGAGUCCAGAUUGCCACCUGGCGCUUCCAUUUCCCUAAACGCCCAAACCCUAACAGUAAAGCCAUCACACAAUAAACAACAAUUCCGAAACCAAUUCGUCUCCAAUUUCAAUAAAGAUGAAUCCUUUCUUCCGUAGAAAGCAAGAAAACGAAUACAAAAUUCGAAAUUGAAAGCAGAAUUCACAAGAAAACUCGAAACGAAGAAAUGAGAGAGAGGUGGACCUUCGAAAGCGCAGAGGUGAUGGGGCUUCAGGGGAGAGACGGCAUCGGAGGAGCCCGGAACGGAAGGAAACGCGCCGGCGGCGCGGCCAAGACGGAAUCUUGAGACGGCCGGGGAGGAGCGAUUGCGAAUAUGAUGAGUGGGAAGGGUGGAGAGGGCUAGGGUUUGGAGAGAAAUGUGGGAGAGAAUAAGGAGAGGUUGAUGAUGAUGAUGAAGAAGGUGAUUGGGAAUUUGGGAAUUUGGGAAUUUAAGAAAGAAUUGAAAUUGGUUUUGGGUUUGGGUUUGGGGGUGUGUGUAAAUUUGGUUUCUCUUUCUCGCUCAAAGAGGAAGAGCGCGAGAAGAGAAAGAAAGUAGAGGAAUGCCCCAACGACGAGCUUAAAGGCACAAUGAAGAAGACAACCCUCUCUCUCUCUUCCUCUUCCUCUUUUGUUUUUUUUGUCCUCUUUGUUUUGGUUUUUUUUUUUUCAGAGUUGACCAAUGUCAACAAUCCCAAACAAAAAAAUAUGUAUAGUUCUCAUAGACAAAGCAUUUCACAUAGCUCAAGCUCUCCCAUUGGUGUCUCCGUCGUCAACUCGUCAUCACUGUUAUGACUUGGCUUGGUUUGAUCGGACUUACAUUAGCGUGCCAUUUUCGCAUAUGUACGUAUUGUGAAUGUUUGAAGACAAUAAGGCGAUCGACUGGUGGCCAAGAAAUGUUUGAUUCGCUACCUGUGUUAUUGGUUAGUGUUAUCAUAUAUGUGCGAGCUCUACAUUUCUAAAUUUGAUGUAUACUCCCAUACGAUCUUGUAUUUGUACAAUUUAGCUCGAACGAUCAUGGUAUACGAUAAAUUUAGUGGUGACGGAGGAUUCUCUUAUAGUCUUAUUAAUAUUGUCACGGUUAAUAUUUGAAAUUACUUAAAUAAUAGUUUGUUUUUUAACAAGAAGACAUGUCAUCAUGAUCAUGUUAUAGAGAGGGAUAACAUUAACUCCAUCAACACAACUGACAAAUGAUUAGGGUAUACUAAACUAAACAGGUCAUAAUCCGGCCCAUUAGCCAGAAGGCUAUUUAGGGUUAUCGUCUUUUUAUAGCGUAGAUGAUAGAUUUCGGAGAGGGAGGGACGUCGCCUUAGGGUUUCAACAUAAAUCAUCACCAAUUCGCAAUGUUCACAAGGCCGAUGCUCAAGAGGAAGGAGGAGGAGGAGGAGGAGGAGUCGGCUUUAUUCUGGCCGCUGAGGAAGAAGAACGGCGUCGUUCCGGACUCUGAGAAGAUGCAUGAACGAAGAUGGGAGAAUUUAUGCAUGGACUGCAUAACCAAGGUGUUCACAAGAGUUGGAAUGGAGUCACUUAUUCUGUCACUCCCUUUUGUAUGCACGUCAUGGUACGCAGCAACCCUGGAUCCUUUAUGCUGGCAAUACCUCUAUUUUCCAGACCUCGAACCUUCUCUUUUAACUGGCCCUAACUCGACUAAACUAGAAAGCUACGGUCCAUUCUACGAUAAGUUUGUAGAGGAAUACCAUAUUGAAAGAAAUCGAUCGCGAUUCUCCAUCACUGCUUUCAUAAAGCUAGUAGUCAACAGAAGCAACGGAAAAGCUCUUGAGCUGAAGAUGCCUGGAUUUUCUACAGAAGAAGCUUUGAGAUUUGUCUCAGACGCAUGCCCUAACCUUAGGGUUUUGAAUUUGCCCGAUGACUUGCAGAUUUUCAAGCAUUCAGGGAUUAUUCCGGAAGUAAUUGGAAAGUGGAAAUCUCUGGAGCAAUUGCAUCUAGGUAGCAACCUCAAGAAAAUAAAUGUUUUGGUAGAUGUUGCUUCACCUCGCUACUUCAGUGAAUAUUUACAGUCGUCGUUGCUGGCUUGCGUUUGCCAUGACAAUUUGAACAAAAUCCUGGAGCAGAUCGGCAUACACUGCAAGCAUUUCAUGGGUCUACAACUUGAGAUUGAAAAGGUUGAUAUAGCUACGGCAUCGGAGAUCGUGAAAUAUUUGCCAGAUAUUAAGUUCUUGAAGUUGAUACAGUGUUACAUUCAAAACGAUGGCAUUGUUACACUAUUGAACGGCUGCAAAGAGCUCGAGACUUUCUAUGUUAGGGGGGAUCGUCACAGUUACCGUUACCAUGGUUUCUUGAGGAGAAAGAUCAUAGGCGUAUACGAACUUGGAGCACCUCAUGAUUGGAAAGUCAUCAGAACGAUGGUUUGAGUAAAGGUUGAUGGUGCGUUUGUAAAUGAAGAAGUGUACAUGCAUGUAUAAGAGCUAGCACCUUAUCAUGUCAUAUCACUUGCUUGUUUAAUCUUUAAUCUUAGAUUUAGACUCAUGUUGACCAAAAAAAAAAAGACUCAUGUUUGGUCCUUGUGCAUGCUUCAAUUAAUAAACCAGCAGCUCUCAACUCUUAUUCCAAUUUAAAUUGAUUCUUCCUGUAACAUUGAGAUUUUUGCGACUUUGUUCCCAAGUAAUCGAUAUCCACUCUUCCUCAUUUUUAAGCUUUUUAACUUUAAAUUUCAAACUACCAGGGCAUAACAUAAUGCGGUAGAGCAGUUUUGAAGUUUUUUGGAACGUCUCUUUCUCUUUGGAUGAUCCACAUAUAUACUUCCUUUCCUGAAAUACUUAGGGUUUUAUCGCGCCACCCCUGCGUCCUCUUUCGAAUUCUCUCAAUUAAAUAACUGAAAGCUUCCAACUUCGAAGCCCCAACCUCCAUAGGCAAACCAAGAUACUUGUCAUGUUUUUCAACCCGUUUCACAUCUAGCACAGCUGCUAAACCAUCAUGUAGACUUCUGUUAACAUUUUUGCUGAAUGAGAUCAAUGGAACUUUUCUCAUAAUUAACAAACCUGUUGUCCCGUCGCUGUCUCAUAGGCUUGAAGUAUGUUGCGCAAAAUAACACGUUCCUGAUAUCCUGCUCUCAAGAAAAUGAAAGAAUCGUCUGCGAAAAACAAAUGAGAAAUAUAUAGGUGGAGCCUGAGUGCACACUUUUUUAGGUUGCAAACAAUACAAGACAGUCCCAUGCAUGAUCAAAUUUUGUUUUUGUUUUGAUGUUUCGGCCACCACCUUCAUCCUGCAGUAUCGAGUUUGGUGGGUUAAAGCUCCUCGAUCGGGUAACAUAUAGCUUGGUUUUGUUUUGGCUGUAGCAGAAGCGCAACUGAUAGCGUAUGAGAGGGGCAGGCUGGUCAUUACGCACUGACUGAACCAGAACCACUGUUCCAUUUUGGUCCACACCUUCUCGCUCGCUCCAACGAGGACCUUGGGGAUUUCAUCUGCGCCGCGGAGCACUUUAGCAUUCCUGACCUGUCCACUGUGCAGUGCGGGCCCAGUUUCACCACUGCAGAAAAUGAGUCAGAUCAUAAUGAGCUGGCUUUGUUAUUGCAGAAUCUUAUAUACCAUACAUAUAGAAUUUAUUUAUUUUGUUUAUUUAUUUUACUAUUUACCAUAAUAUCCCUCGUUUUUAAUAGUCUGAAUUAACUUUAAAAGGGCAAUAUUGACAAAACUUAAUUUGGUGAUUUCUAAUUUGUUGGCUUUAUAGCAGUAAAGAUUAUUGUUAUUGUUAUUGUUUUUUGAGUUUUGUAUCAAAAUUCCUUCCUUCAUCUCCUUGUUUGUUUUUUAAGACUCCAUUUAGGAUUAAGAAUGUCAUUUAUUACUCGAUGCAAUGAUAAAUAUUUGAUGUAUAGACUUUAUUUACGAAGAGCAGGCUUGGAACGCUUAGGUGAGUUGGGCAUUAUUAGGACGUAUAAUUAGCUUGAAACGUCUAAACGGGCUAUGCGGCCUUGUUUUAAGACCCUUAACAAAAACAAUAUUAAUCUACAAUCACUUUUAAAGUCAAAGUAUCCUAAACUCCACUCCUUAGCUAUAAGUCUGUAACAUUCGAGAGGUCCUGAAGAAUUGCUUCCACAGAGGCAUACACUACGACAUAGACAUAAUGGUGAUAUGAAUAUGUAUUUUACUUUAUAAUUUUUUGAAGAUUUAAAUUAAAUGUUAAAUGCAAAAUUGAAGGAACAAAAUUGGGUAUAUGAAUAUAUGAUUGUGAUGGUUAAUCAAUGUAGUUUAAGAGCAUUCAAUCACACUCAAAAAUGAUUUGCACAUAGACAUUGACAUUGUUGUUUUGUUCUUAGAUCUCAAUUAGUGGAUUUCCAUUUCCUUUCAAUUAACAAAAUCAUAAAUAUACAUACUAUUUAUAGACUAAUUAGUAAAUAAAAAUGGGUAUUAAAGGCCUUAAUAUUUUAGAUUAAGGUUGACUAAACGAGAAAAUAAAAUAAAAUCAUGGAAUGACUGCUUUACAUGUAAACCGACUAACCCAUCCUUUGCUCAUAAACAAGUAAAAAUGUUGAACUUUUCCAACCCCAGAAUGAGUCCUAGUGACACUCUUUUCCAGCAGCACUUUAGUUGGCUCCUUGGAGGUGUGGCAUAAACCACCAUUGAACCCUUCUUCACGACUCACGAGGCUAUCUCCCUCUAUCUCUCUCUGAGCUCAUGUACCCACUUUAAUAGCUUCCAUGGCCUGUGAGCUUCAUCAAGUACAUUUGGCUCCUUUCACAUUUUCAAAGCAAUGAAGUGUCACUCGGGAUGUUUCUCUUUGGUUCUCUUUGGUGUAUAGUCACUUUGUGUUUUCGCUUGUCGACCCUAUUGCUGGUUCACAUUGCUGCUUACGUCUCUGAAUGUCUUGCAGAUCUUGCAGACAUUGCACAUUAAGUAAUGGCAAACAAGGCACCAAAAAGGACCCUAAAUCAGUGUCGGAUGAAGAUCUUGAUGGAGCAAAAAAUGGUAAAAAAAUGAAAAAAGGAAGAAGAAUUUUGUGGGGUUAAAUGACACAAUCUUAAAUACAUUUGAACAAAAUAAUAAAAUUCAGAGUAAAUUCCUCAAAAUAGUAUAACAUCAGGAAUUGACCAAAACGGUGUAAAGUCUCUAGAUUGAUACAUUUAGUAUUUUCCUCCAUCUAUAUUUCCGUUAAACUUUGAUGCAUGGUUUGAUGAAAAACGGUGAAGCAAAAAAAGGGCAAUAAUGUGAACCCAGAAAAGCAAAGAUGCAAACAAGAAGAACAAUACUGUGGGGGGUUUAAUGUCUAUAAAAUUGGUUACACACCUGUAAAUCACACAGUCUUAAUUCUUAUAGCAAAACAAAUGAAAACCCUACUAGUGAAUAAUGAAUAUACAAUAACCACAUAGGAGGAAAAGAGUAUAAAUAAUUGACUAUCAAUUUAUAAUCCCACACUCCUCUCAUUCUUUCUGUCUUUUUGUUCCGCUUCUUCACUUCCACCAGUACCUCCCCUCUCUCUCUCUCUCUCUCUCUGCUGCUCUCUGCCCAUCUAGAAUCUCUCAUGAGCUUAUCUCUCAAAUUCUUGAGAUGAUUUUUGGGCCUUAAACCCUUUUGUGGAUCACUAUAAAUUUCUUUUAAAUUCUCAUCCUUUAAUCCCGUUUUUCUCUCUUAUCAAAAAAGCCAAAUCUUUACUGCUUUCCCUGUAUUUCAGCUCCUUCAUCUUCAUCUUGUUGGAUUCGAUUCCGAACCCAUUAAGCUCCUUUCGUUUUCUGGGCGACCCUUUUCAGAUUGAGGCCAAAUGCAGACCAUUUCUGGGGGAUGACCGCCAUUAAAGCUCUGAAUCUCUUUCUCCACCUACUUGUGUUUGGGGUUGGUGCAUAGCCAUUUUAGUCAUUUACUAGAGAAUUGAAUAUGAUGGGGUUCUUGAAGAGUGUUCGUUUCUCACGCGCCUUUUGGUGGUUGAUUGUUGGUCUCAAUUUGCAUUUCAUUGUGGGAUUUUGAGGUGCAUGGUGUGUGUUCUUCCCCUCUUCAGGAUUUAAGGGCUUCUGCAUUGGAGCCCUCGAGUUUUGGAGGCUACAAAGAUCAGGUAUUUUUGCUUCCCCUGCUGAAAUUGCUUGUUGGGUUUUUGUUUUUGAUGUUGUUACUGAGUAAAGGUGUUUGCUUUUUUGUGUUUUUGCGUUUUGGUUGUGAUUUUAGGAGUGGUAAUUUAGCUGCUUGGAUUUUUGACCGUUUGGAGAGGAAGGAGUGUUCUGGGUUUGGCUUUAAUUUCGAUUCGUGUUGAUUAUGUGUUGAUGGGUUUAUGGCGAAGAAUCGUGGGUUUUAAUUCCUUUUGAGCAAGGAAGAUUCCCAGUCUAAAGUUGUUUGAGGCUUUGAGAGAGCUUCUAUAACAAGGAACCAAAAGGGAAAAGCAAUAUCUGUAUAAGCAAAGAGAAUUUGCAACGGUUCAAACCUUGAAAGCUGCUUUUUUACACACACAGACAUAGACUAUAGCAAGUGCCCGUUGUUGCUAUUAACCAGAGAUUCACAAGUCUGAUGAUAUUGCAGCUUAAUUUCUAGGAAAUUAUUUAUUGCACAUUUCAGUUACCAUUUCUUUGGAUCCAAGGUGUUAUAUAUACCUGGGUUUAGCUAGUUCUCUGGGAAUUUGGGGUUGUGCCCAGCUGGUUUGAGCAGCAUUGUUGGGUUUUUGACAUUUCAAAGCAUCGAUGGGGCUUCUUUUCCGAAGUCUCGUGAUACUAGUGGUUCUGAUAUGGUUGUCACGGCUGUCAUAUCUCUCGGCAGAGCUUUCAAGUGGCCAAGCCGCUGCUCUCGACGUGCUUCUUCAAGACUAUGCUUACAGGGCCUUUGUUCGACCCAAGACUGGAGUUCCCUAUGAUGCGCAGGUUCCUUCGAAUUUGACUGGAGUUCAGAUUGCAGCUUUGAGGCUUAGGAGUGGAAGCUUGUACAGGAGAGGUGUUGUGUACAAAGAGUUUGAGUUCCCAGUGGGAGUGAAUGAGAGUCCAUACGCGGAGAGGCUUGUUCUGGUGUACCAGAACAUAGGCAAUUGGUCAGUGGUGUUCUAUCCAUUACCAGGUUAUUCUUACUUGGCUCCAGUGUUGGGCCUCCUUGCUUAUGAUGCUAUCAAUUUAUCAGCGAAAAGAUUACCAUACUUGGAUAUCAAGGCAACUGAUGAUCCCAUAAAGAUCAAAUUUCAGGAUGUGAAACCAUACCCUGAUGGCGCUGUGGUGAAGUGUGUAACUUUUAAUUUAGAUGGCUCUGUCAAUUUGAGUGAUGUGGGAUCAGGCAAUACAUGUUUAGCAGUCCAACAGGGGCACUUCGCUAUUGUGGUGGAGUCCAUUGCUCCUGCUCCAUCACCGGUCACCACCCCUAAUAACGGAAGUCCCCCAAGUCCUGGUGGUAGAGGAAAGAAAAAGAGUAAUUCAAAAACAUGGAUAAUUGUUGGGUCUGUGCUCGGUGGAUUAGCAUUGUUGGCAUUGUUGGCAUUCCUGGUACUGUGGGUGCAUAAAUACAGGGAAAGAAAGCAUUUGGAAGAGAUGGAGAAGGUUGCAGACUCAGGAGAAGCUUUGCAUAUGACAACAGUUGGAGAUACAAAAGCACCUUCAGCAAUGGUUACUCGAACACAACCUACAAUCGAGAGUGAAUACGUUCCCUGACUUCCCCACCAUCUGUACAAGCUUCCAAGUCCUUUCCAGACCACCAUUCAUAUUCAAGUUCAAUUCCUGUGGAUCACACACCCUCUUUGCUUUUCUGCCUAGAUUCUUUGUUUUACUGUGAGUACAUUAGGAUUUUUGUGUAAAUCUGUUAUUACUCACCAAUAGUUUACUGUGAUUCAUUGUGGUGUGAGUUUAGCACAGAGUGAUUCUAUAUUGUGAUAAAUUUAGUUGUUUCAUUAACAAGAAAUCAUAAGCUUCAUUUGGCACCUUUUUUUCAUUGGCUUCCAUUAUAUAUAGGAUGCACCUUUCAGAUAUCAUUUAACGAUGAUCAGAAUCUGAUCAUGAGCUUGGCUUGGCUUCUGGUUCUGAACUUAUAAUCAUUCACAACACUUCCACGAGUUUGAUUCUGGGGUAAUCAUGGAUUGCAACUCUUUUGUCAACUAUUUUUUUUCUUUCUUUCUCUCUGAAGGAAACAAAGGAACAAUCUAUAAGAAACAAUGAAACAGUCUAUAUCUUCUUGACAGAGAUUGUGAAAUCAAUCCCUUUCUGCUACUUUUACUAGUUUUCAGUUAAUGACUAAUUGAUGCUAUCAUACCGCAAUUGGGUGAGAUCUACUUUCUGUGCUAUGAUUAAUCACUAUCUAAAAGGAGUGUCCAAAAUUUUAGUACUUUUGUCAUUUCUUUUAUGAAGUGCUGUCAGCUGUGCUUGUCUUGCUCUCUACCUAACACGCUUAUAUUCUUAUUAAUUUUUUCUCUUCUGACAGACAAAUAGAAACAUUUUUAUUUUAAUUGAACCGGAAAAAAGAAAAAUAUCGUGGACCUAAAAGCUAGGUAAUAUUGGAAUUAUAUUCUGUUUUCUCUUGGGUUUUUUUUUUUCAUUUUUAUUUUUAAAUCCCAUUAAAUAACAAUAAUGGUACUAAGAAGUAAGAAAGCACAGAAAUGUGAGAAUGCAAAAAGUUGGUGUCUGAGCUAAGCUCCAGUAGAAGCUACAAACUCUCAUUAGUUUUCCAGCACAACAUUUCAAACAGAUCAUCCUCCUCUGGAUCCAUUUUCUGUUACAAAGAGUAAAUGAGUAGACUGCUACAGCUUCAGCACUGAAUGCUUGGUUGGAACUACUAAAUCUAUUACAAAUCAUGAUGCUAGGGUCAAGCACUUACACAGAUCAUGAUUCUCUGAUUGAAUUUUUUGUUGCAAAGAUAACUCGUACUAUGAAUACAUCAUUUGCUAAAGCUUGAUGAACAUGAAUGCAUUGCCAGGGUAAUGGCCGUUGUCCAAGAGAAUCUGGUCUGGUUAUUGGGGCUGUGUUCUCAACGAAUGGAUGUCGAUGGUAGUCGGCUUCCAACUUGAGAUAGCUAGCCCCCUCGGUUACUAGAGUACUAGGCUUUCAAGAGUGUCAUAGUACCAUAAUUCGAUUAUUUUUUAUGCCCCACCCACACCGUGCUAUAUUUUGAGUCCUUUUUUGUUUUGUUUUGGAAAUGAAAUAAAUUCAUGAAUUGAAAUUUGUUUAGUCCUUACGGUUUGAAGUCGACAUCUGUUUAAUCAUUGUGGUUUUAUUUUAAUCUGAAUGAUCCUUAAAAUCACGAUUUUUCAUCGAAAUGGUCAUUCCGUCAAUUUUUUCAGUUAAAUUGCUGACAUGACCGUUAAUUUAACUGAGAAUAAUGACGGAAUGACAAUUUUGAUGAAAAAUCGUGACUUUAAAGACCAUUCAGAUUAAAAUAAAAUCACAUGGACUAAACAUAUGUCAACUUCAAACCAAAAAGACUAUACAAUAUUUUACCUUAAAUUCAUUGAGGGAUGAACCCAAACAUGAGCCAAAAAAAGGAGCCCAAACAGUACAAGGGAACAAAGAGAAAAGUAAAUCCACUAAAGAAUAAUAACAUAUUAUUAUCUCCAUUACAAAUUAAACUAAAACAUAAGCCCAGUAGGUGGCCCGACCCACUUCAGAAACCCUACUGUUGCCAUCCAAAACGCAGUGCAAACAACUGUAGCCGUUGGAAGCAAAAGCACGUAGAAAUUUCGUCGUGAGAUUCUGAUGCCAAACCGAACCUAACACACCGAACAAGAGAAAUCCACCAACCAAAAGGACGAAUCCCUCCACAACAUCAUCAAUUUCUCCAUCCACGAAACCAAGAAGAAGCCAUGGCAGCCGACAAGGAUCCAAGAUCCCGAACACCGAACCAGAACAAGGAUAGUAACUGUAACCGUAACCGUUGAUAAACCUAUGCGUGAGCACUCAUACUCGGAUAGGGAAGUGACAUGCACUUUUUGGUCGCUGCCAUAGGAGUUUCUAUAGAGGAAUUGGGUAGUGAAAGGAGUUGUAUUGUGUGGUUGAUUGAUUUUUGAUCGGGAAACUUGUGGGAUUGUACGACAGAGAGGUGAGGAAAAGAGAGAAAAUGAGGACAAAGCCCUCCCAUGCUGGAGAAAGCCAGAUCUAAACCACAAAUCAGGUAACAAGCCAUCACAUAGGUGAGGGAAAUUAAGAAAAACUGAAAAAGAAGAUGGAAAAACUGAAAAAACCAAGCUCGAAGCCUCCCCCUAUUCUUCCUUCGUCGAUCUAGAUCCGUAAAGGAUCAAGAUCUAGGUGAGAGAAAAGAAGAAGGGGGGGGGGGGGGGGGGGGGGGGGGGGGAGGAGGGGGUAGAAUGAUCUAGUUUCUCUCUUUGAAUUAAAGUAGAGAGAGAAGCUCUCGUUCUGUUUUUUGUUUUGUUGUGAGUUAUAUUUUGAGUCCUUUGUGAUUCAUAUGAACAAUUUCCACAAAGCUUGUAUGAGAUAUUUGGAUGGUAGCUUGUCAACUAACUAAGACUUUAAUUUUCUAACACUAAAAAAUAAUUAUUUCAAUGAGCGGAAAAUCUACGUACCUACAUGUAUGCGACACCUGCAUUUACAAAUG
rnacentral:lncRNA from 1 species